rnacentral:lncRNA from 1 species
GAAGAGAAUACACCAAAACUGUAAACAACAAAACAUACAAUUAGAUGUCCGAUUAAACCACAAAUAUUUACGAAACCAAAAAUCUGAGAAUAUACAAAUUCAGCAAAUAUCAUUUCUUCCAAGAUUCAUAUGAGGUUGCACUUGGGUAUGGAAAGUUCCCUAAACUGUUGUUUCCAAAGCAAUGUUCAACAAUCAGUUGGCUUUAGCUCAAAGAGAAAAAAAUACGUAACACCUUUUCAUCUCUUGGAACCAUCAAUAUCAAUACUUCCAGAUCCAUGAAGCUGCAAAUGCAAUAGAGGAAAAUUGAAAGAUUAAAUCUAAAAAGAAAGAGGAUAUCAUCAAAGAAGGAAUCAAGGAAAGGCAAUACAAGUUCCAUGGGAGGUCAGAAUAUUAAAAUAUAGAGGAUAUAUCAUCAAGGAAGGAAUCAAAGGUGAAGGCAAUACAAGUUCCAUGAGAGGUCACAAUAUUAGAAUACAACCACACCUACAAUGCUAGAACUGAUAUUCACAAUGUUGAAAAGGCGGAAAUAAAAUUAUGUCAUGACAACAUAGUGCUUUUAGGUCUGUGAUUCCUGCAGCACAUGGGCCGGUUUCUGCACUUUCAUUAGCUUUGCUCUUCUCCUUUCACAAAAAGUAAAACUAUUCACCAAGUACUACUACAAAGUAGCUGAAUUGUAAAAUAGAGGUCUUAUAAUCAUCAUCUGGUGACUUCUGAGCAGAUUAAAAUCACAUGGAUAAAAAUGACAACUAUACCACAAAUUCAACAUGCAGCAGCUGUGCACACCAUCUCUUCAUCAGCCGAUCCUCGCCCUGAACCUUGUAAACCUGUGACCGACAAGAUGAAUGGGAUAAAGGGCGAAUUACAAAAGGCAUCAGGGGUCAGAGAUAAAGGAAGGUGAAGAGCUAGCAUUAAGGUUUACCUGUCAACUUAGACCAACCAAUAAUACUGCGGCCGCCGCAUCGUCUUGCACCGAUGAGCCAAGUACGCCGCCCCUUCCUUACCCUCCUCCGCAUUGUCAAGCUGCUGAUGCUGCUGCCUCAUCCUCCUCAUCAGUUGUCAUGCUUUCACCAUGGCUGUAUUGGCAGCCGUGGCACCUAAAUCACACAGGAACAACAGGAAUUAGCACAUAUGCUGUCCAUGAAAGCGGGAUGUGAAAGAAAUUAAUAUGAGGAAAGAUGCAAAGAGCCGAGAAUAAAUAGCAUGAAGUAGAUGCACCAAGGAGGUGAACCAGUCAGUUUAUGUACGCCAUAACCUGCCAUGAAUGCGCGUUUAGAAACUGAAGGGAGCAAUUUCCAGUAGAUGAGGCGUCGACCAUUAUCGCCAGCACGCCUACCUUUCUUCGUCGCAGGCAGAUCGCCCGGGCCGGCUGGAUCGACCAGCGUUCGAUUCACCCGCAUCCCGCGCUUAGGCGGCCCUCGAGCAGCUCGCAUCGGCUGGAUCCCCUAAACCACCGGUUCCCUCGCGUGCGUCGCAUCGGGUCCCUCGAGCACCGGCUCCCCUCACGCGGCUCGAGUCCGCUGGAUCCCCCGCGUGCCGCGUGCGUGGCAUUGCAGAUGAUAUAUGGGCCAAUGAAGCACCUAUCGAUGUGUAGCUUCGUGAGUUUAGACAUGGGCCAACGAAGCCCACUCAACGACAGGCCUACAAAAAAGUCCCCAGAGUAGCGGCCCAUUAGGACAGGUAGCCUAGUCGCAGUAAAUUCGUGCUGAAACAAUGAUCUCACGGCUAGAAACAAUUCAAACGCGAAAUCUGAUGGCCAAAAUCACUGAGGGCGUGAGAGAGCUUGGAUUAGGCUCGUUUAUACUGUCCUAAAUAGGCAUCACAUCCGUGACAAGUAGAUCGAAACGAUUCUGCAUCUACUACUAUUACUCCACUCAUCGACCGCUAUCCAGCAUGCAUCUAGAGUAUUAAGUUAAAAACAGAGUAACGCCUUAAGCAAGAUGACAUGAUGUUGAGAGAUAAAUUCAUGCAAUAUGAAAUAAACCCCAUCUUGUUAUCCUCGAUGGCAACGAUACAAUACGUGCCUUGCUGCCCCUUCUGUCACUGGGUAAGGACACCGCAAGAUCGAACCCAAAGCUAAGCACUUCUCCCAUGGCAAGAACUACCAAUCUAGUUGGCCAAACCAAAUGGAUAAUUCAAAGAGACUUGCAAAGAUAACCAAUCAUACAUAAAAUAAUUCAGAGAAGAUUCAAAUAUUAUUCCUAGAUAGACUUGAUCAUAAACCCACAAUUCAUCAGUUGUAACAUCCCAAAUUUUUCAAUUUGGAAUGUUAUACAUAGUAAUCCAUGCAUAUCAUAUUUUAUUUGCAUUUCGUCUAGCGAUCCUCGAAAUCCUAAGCAACUCAAGGACCCUCGCAGAGAGUUGGGGAUUUUCCCGGUUUUCAAAUUUGAUUUUAUCAAAUUUUGAAACAAGGAUUUUGGUUUUAAUUAGUUUCGCUCCGAAAAUAUUUCAUACUAAAAUAUAUUAGAGGGGAUAAUAUGACUUCUCCAAGAUAAUUGAAAUAUUGGAGGAAAAAUAUUAAAAUCAAAUAUUUGUUUUAUUUGGAUUUUAUUGCAAUUUUGUUUGCAUUAGAAAAAUUGCACAUUUUUCAAAAUUGCAUUUUAGGGCCAAGAAAAUGUCAUCUCGUUCUAAAUAUUUUAUUUAGACGGUGAAAUUUUGUUUUGGCAUUUUUAGAUUUGUAUUUAUUUUUCUAGGAUUUUAUUUCUGUCGGCGGAAUUAUUUUAAAAAAGUUCCGCGCCCGACUGGGCCUAAGGCCCAGCCGAGCUAGGUCGCCGCCGCCACUCGGACCGGAGUCCGAGUCGGACUCCGCCUACCGCCGCGCCUUGCCCACUNNNNNNNNNNNNNNNNNNNNNNNNNNNNNNNNNNNNNNNNNNNNNNNNNNNNNNNNNNNNNNNNNNNNNNNNNNNNNNNNNNNNNNNNNNNNNNNNNNNNNNNNNNNNNNNNNNNNNNNNNNNNNNNNNNNNNNNNNNNNNNNNNNNNNNNNNNNNNNNNNNNNNNNNNNNNNNNNNNNNNNNNNNNNNNNNNNNNNNNNNNNNNNNNNNNNNNNNNNNNNNNNNNNNNNNNNNNNNNNNNNNNNNNNNNNNNNNNNNNNNNNNNNNNNNNNNNNNNNNNNNNNNNNNNNNNNNNNNNNNNNNNNNNNNNNNNNNNNNNNNNNNNNNNNNNNNNNNNNNNNNNNNNNNNNNNNNNNNNNNNNNNNNNNNNNNNNNNNNNNNNNNNNNNNNNNNNNNNNNNNNNNNNNNNNNNNNNNNNNNNNNNNNNNNNNNNNNNNNNNNNNNNNNNNNNNNNNNNNNNNNNNNNNNNNNNNNNNNNCGCUUGCCGCCGCCGCCCCGCGAGCCGCCGCCCCUGCCUCGCCGGAGCCCCCUCGCCGGAGGUAGCCGCCGGACCCGCCGCCAGUUUUUUUAAAAACCGUUCGGUUUUUUAGAAACCCUAGAUCCGUUUUUUCUCGGAUUCGCCGGUUUUUUUCUCGAUUCUUCUAGUUAGCGGACGUUCGUCCGUAUGUUCGUUUUAACGAACGGUUUUCGCCCGUUAGAUCCAGCUAAUGAACGCUCGUUCGUUAGUCUAUUCGUCAGUUUACUUUUAUCGGAUUUAUUCCGUGAUUUUUCUGAUCGUGAUUUCUGAUCCGAUCGUAGUUUCUAUUUUUCUUUUCGCUCAUUAGUCGGAAUCAGGCGAUUAAAGCGCCUAGAGUUUCGUCUCGAAACCCUCUUUCUGUUUAACCAACUCAAAUAAGUUUUUGCUACUGUAAAAUUUGACCUAGGUUCAGAUUAGUAAACGAAGCUUCUUUUCUUUCGUCGUUUGAGUUUCGUUGCUCCGUUUGAUUUGAUUCUUUUUGUGAACCGGAGUUCUUAACUUGAACUUUCUGGUCAACCCCUCUUAUUUGAGAUUUACCCAUGCUUCUUUGCUUGUUGCUUAUGUAAGUUAUUGUUUGUUUGCGAUAGAACACCCGAAGUGCGAAGCGUGCUACUAUGAGUCCCUGGGUUUCGCAGACCGUCAGCAAGGCAAGUAACACUUUGAUCAUAUCCCUUUUAUCACCCAGUUUUUAUGCAUUAGUUCCAAUCCUCAAACAUUGCAUGAUUAGGAUAUCAUUAACAUGUGGGUUGGGAAGUAGUUGUUGAGGUAGAACCUAUUACCCUGUUACAUUCAAACCCUUGGGAGUUACUCUACGCGUUGCUUACAUUACUAUGCUGUGCUAUGCUCGUAGACGUGGUUUGGGUUUGAGUGAAGUCCAUGACAGAUGUGAGAUUGUUGAUUAAUGGCUCAAACUUAAGGUGGCAACUUAAAUUAACAUCUGGGUGGAUUGAGGCACCUGGAGUACCAAGUGUUGCCUAUAUUUUUGGAAAUCCUGGAGUUCCCGUGUGAUUUUCCUAUGGACCGCCACCCAGGCUCAAUGGGAACUGAGAUGAUUCAUGCUAGAAAACUUCCAUGUGCAGCCACAAGCUAUUAUGGGCUCUAGCAUAGUUGAGUAAUCUACGUGAAGCUCUUGAAGAGGCAGAUCAACAGGUAGUGGGAUGUAGGUUUUGUAUGGUCUGUCCGGAGUAAAGAGUUAAUGUUUCUGAAAGACUGUGUCUCGGUCAUCCGUUUCCCAAACACCUUGUAGUGCGGGAAAUCCAACGGAGGCGAUCGAGUCUUGUGCGGAAAAGUGCGCAAACCUCUACAGAGUGUAUAAUCUAAUCAUGGUUAGCCAUGUCCCCGGUUAUGGACAAUUCUUGAGUAUCUAGUAUUUGAGUUAUCACAUGUAUCUCAUCAUUUAUUAAAUAAUAUUGUUGGGAUGUUAAUCACUUUAAUUUGGAUUGAGUUGGAGGAACCUUCUCAAUGAUGUUUCAACUACCAUGAUAGUAAAAUUAAAAUCUAUUCCUUUGUUGUAGGAAAAAAUUGGGUUUUCGCAAAAGCUAUAACCAUAGAGCUUUCCACCAGCCAAAUAUGCAUGUAGUGAUAUCAUUAUUCUGUUCUUGCUCUACUGUGUUAUUUUGCCAGCAUAUUCCAUGUGCUAACCCGUUUUCGGGCUGCAACGUAUUAUGUUGCAGACUUUUCAAACGAGGAGUAAGGUUCGUUAGGUCGUUGCCGUGCAGCUCAGUUAUGCCGUUGGAGUUGAUGGACUCACUUUAUCUUCCAAGCCUUCCGCUAUUAUCGUAUUAGAUGGCCUUAAGCCAUAUUAUUGUAAUAAGUUCUCUUUUGAGACAUUCAAUGUAAUAAGUGUGUGAUUGCCACUCUGUUAUAAAUCCUUCGAGUACUGUGUGUGUCGGCAUUACCGAUCCAGGGAUGACACUAAAGCACAGAGACUUGACCAUCUGAGGUCGGGUCACUAUAAGAUGGUAUCAGAGCACACGCUGAGUGUAGAACACGACCACUAAGAUAAACCCUAGGUCACACUUCUCUUCUCAUUUCUGACAUCACUCCAUUUUCUACUCUUUAGGAUGGCGGAGAUGAAGAACAAGUUUGCACAACUGGAUGAAGACACACCUUUUGGACGCCACUUGAAGGAAGUCACUAGGUACUUGAACAUUGGAAUACCAAGUUUCACCGGAAUGUACAACGCCCCUUUACCUGAAGAGGAGCGCUGGAUGGUUCAAGUACAAGUUCCAGGAAGGACGUUCUCGCCAACUUCUAAAACCAUAGAGUUUUCUUUUGAAGCACCCACCUGGAGUCUAGGCAAGAGCAUGGCAGCCCACAUUACCAUGGGACGCAUUGGAGAGGUCUACAACAGGGAGCUUAAGGACACUAUCUACCAAAUAUGUGGGCGCCGAGAUGAGCAAUGGGAAGUAAUCAGCACCAGGAAGGAUAGAUCCAUUGCAGCUUUCAUCCAGGAGUUAAACCAGCACAUUCGACGUCAGGAGAACCAGAUGUGCGCGGACAUGAUGGACUUAAAGAAGGCGAAGGCUAGAAUCAUCGAGCUGGAGGAAGAACUCAAGUUUACACGCGAUGGAUAUGAGGAGGAAAUAAAGACACUAUUGGAGAAGAAUGACGACUUAUUCAAGAAGAUCAGAAUAUUCACGAGAGGACCAUCACCAACAGAAGAAGAAGAAGAAGAACCCAACGAGAUACGCCCCGAGGACUACAUCAUCAUCGACGACAUCGAUUCCGAUCCUAGUGAUGAUGACUUUGAAGACAAAGCUGGAGCAGACAUCAUGGAGUCUUCCACUGAUCAAAAUUUCUAGAUGACCACCAAAUAUUAGUAGUAUUCCACCAUGUAAUUAGUAGUAGAUGAGCACUUUUGUGAUAGUUCUAGACCGUUUGCAUGCCCUUGCUUGAUUGAGUGAAAUGUUUGUGUUAUCUCAUGUGCAUAUGAGUAGUGUUUUCUCAUUAGACCCCUUUCUAUUCGGUCUCUUCCAUCUAAACCCAUCAGAUGCCUCUGAGACGUGACCCCGAUUUUGUUUACCCACCGGAGCUCACCGAGUUGAUCCAGCAGCAGAAUACCUUGAUGCAAUUGCUAGUUCAGAACCAGGGUAACAACAACAACAACAACAACAACAACAACAACAACAACAACAACCCGCCGCUAGUGGACAACCUAGCCCAUUUUCUAAGGUUACAGCCGCCGGUGUUUUCCAGUAGCACCGAGCCUACAGUUGCUGAUGACUGGCUAUGCCAUAUUGGAAGGGAGUUGACCACCGCAGGUUGCACGGAUGCUGAGAGGGUGUGUUUCGCCGCACAUCAAUUGGAUGGACCUGCAGCCUCAUGGUGGAGAAUUACACAGCCACUUUCCCCAUAGCCAACGUCACUUGGGACCAGUUUUAGCAAGCUUUCUGCACGGCCCAUGUCUCAACUGGAGCUAUGCAGUUGAAGAAGCGGGAGUUCCGCAACCUACGCUAGGGGAACCGUACUAUGGCACAGUACGUGGAUGAGUUUAGCAAGUUAUCUUGCUAUGCCCCUGAUGAUGUGGCCACAGAUGCCGCGAAGCAGGAGAAGUUUAUGGAAGGGUUGAAUGAUGAGAUGAGCAUGCAGUUGAUGGUAGCAACCUUCAACAACUACCAGGAGUUGGUAGAUAAGGCUCUUAUGAUUGAAGGGAAGCAGCAGCAGAUUGAGAGCCGCAAAAGAAAGUAUGGACAGGGGAAGUAUAACUCAGGAGCUUAGCAGAGGCCUCGCCUAACCCCAAACUCGGGAGGACUUGUUCAUAACCAUGGAGGUCACAACCACACUGGAGGAGGAUCACACAACCACAAUGGUUCUAAAAAUGGGAAUGGGAACAGAACCAGCAAUAAUCAGAACCGCCCCAAUCCAGCCACACCAACCAAAAGAGACCUAAGUCACGUUACUUGCUUCAAGUGUGGGAAGACUGGACACUACGCCACGGAGUGCCCUGAAGGAAAGAAUGGAAAUGGAAAUGGGAGAGCUGGGAAGAAGCCUAAUCCAUUCAACAAACGACAAGUGAACCACGUUAACAUGGAGGAGGUUGAAAAGCAGCCGGACGCGGUAAUAGGUAAGUUUUUGGUUAAGUCAUUUACCGCUCUUGUUCUUUUCGAUACUGGUGCAUCGCAUUCAUACAUAUCAAGGGGAUUUGUGGAUAAAUUUAAGCUACCAACCCAAACACUUAGGACCCCUAUGAUAGUAAGCUCGCCCGGAGUAGAAUACAUGGCAAGCCGAUGGUGCGACCAGGUACCCUUAACCAUUGGCACACAUGUUUUUCCGUCCGACCUAAUUAUCUUGGAGUCACAAGGAUUGGAUGUGAUAUUAGGUAUGGACUGGAUGUCAAAGUUUGGAGGGAGUAUUAACUGUGCUAGUAAGACGAUUUUACCUUACCACCCCGGAGGGAAAAAGGAUUAAGUAUGUGUCUGGGCAUGUGCCUAGCAGGAGCCAAGUGAAUGCCCUUACGGGAGUUGUUCAGGAGGAAGUGCCUAUAGUGAAGGAUUAUCCGGAUGUUUUUCCAGAGGAGUUACCGGGCAUGCCACCUGAUAGAGACAUUGAGUUUUUGAUAGAGUUGUUGCCAGGAAUAGGACCAAUAUCCAAGAGACCCUAUCGUAUGCCCGCAAAUGACCUGGAGGAAAUUAAGAAACAGAUCAAGGAGUUACUGGAAAAAGGAUACAUUCGAAGAAGUUCAUCACCUUGGGGAGCCCCUGUGCUUUUGGUGGAGAAGAAGGACAAAUCCCUAAGGAUGGUUGUUAACUAUCGAGCCUUGAAUGAGGUGACGAUUAAGAACAAGUACCCACUGCCGAUGAUCAAUGAUCUGUUUGAUCAGUUGCAAGGAGCUAAAGUGUUUUCGAAGAUCGAUCUGUGAUCAGGAUACCAUCAGUUGAAGAUACGUGAGAAGGAUAUACCAAAGACAGCGUUCACGACGCGUUAUGGAUUAUACGAGUACACGGUCAUGUCAUUUGGACUGACUAAUGCCCCUGCUUAUUUCAUGAGCAUGAUGAACAAGGUGUUCAUGGAGUAUUUGGACAAGUUUGUUGUGGUGUUUAUUGAUGAUAUAUAUGGUAUACUCGAAGAACGAGGAGGAGCACAAGGAGCAUUUGCGCUUAGUUCUCGAGAAACUCAGGGAACACCAGUUGUAUGCUAAGUUUAGCAAAUGCGAAUUUUGGUUGAAGGAAGUCGGAUUCCUUGGACAUGUUAUAUCAGGAGAAGGUAUAGCAGUAGACCCCAGCAAAAUUCAGUCAGUCACUGAAUGGUUGGCACCCACCUCAGUUAGCGAGAUCCGCAGUUUCCUUGGAAUCGCAGGUUACUAUCGGAGAUUCAUUGAGAACUUUUUCAAGAUUGCAAAGCCAAUGAAUGAACUGUUAAAGAAGGAUACUAAGUUUAAAUGGACAGAAGAUUGCGAGGUAUGUUUCCAGGAGUUGAAGGAACGGUUGACUACAGCACCAGUGCUAACACUGUCGGAUAUACAUAAGGAAUUCCAAGUGUAUUGCGACGCCUCUCGCUUAGGACUUGGAUGUGUACUUAUGCAGGAUGGAAGAGUUGUUUCGUACACCUCACAACAACUAAAACCUCAUGAGUUGAACUAUGCCACCCAUUUGGAGUUAGCAGCCGUAGUGCAUGCAUUGAAGACCUGGAGGCAUUACCUUAUUGGAAACUGAUGUGAUGUAUACACGGACCAUAAGAGUUUGAAGUACAUCUUCACCCAGAAGGAACUGAACCUUAGACAGAGGAGAUAGUUGGAGCUUAUAAAGGAUUAUGAUAUGAAGCUACACUAUCACCCAGGAAAGGCCAAUGUUGUAGCAGACGCUUUGAGCAGGAAGAGUUAUGCUAAUAUCCUUGAAAGUAAGGGACUGCCGAAGGAGUUAGCAGAGAAUAUCAUGGAACUUCGAUUGGAGAUUGUUCCUAGAGGAUUCGUUGCAACAAUGGAAGUCCAGUCGACAUUGCUGGACAAGAUUCGGGAAGCUCAGAAGGAUGACAAGGAGAUUGUCGAGAUAAAGGAGAAGAUGAGCAAAGGAAAGGCCAAAGGUUUUCGUGAAGACGAGCACGAUACCUUAUGGUUUGAGGAUCGAGUUUAUGUGCCCAAUAACCAGGAGAUCAGGAAGUUAAUACUUCAAGAGGCUCAUGACUCACCAUACUCGAUACACCUCGGAAACACCAAGAUGUAUUUGGAUUUGAAGGAACAAUUCUGGUGGACCGAUAUGAAAAAGGAUAUUGCCGUGUAUGUAGCCGUAUGUGAUGUAUGUCAGCAAGUGAAGGCAGAACACCAAAAGCCAGCAGGAUUAUUAUAGCCUAUGCAGAUACCCGAAUGGAAGUGGGAUAAACUUGGCAUGGAUUUUAUCACCGGAUUGCCCAGGACUAAAGCAGGAUAUGAUUCCAUAUGGGUAGUAGUUGAUCGCUUGACCAAAGUGGCUCACUUCAUCCCAGUGAAAACCACUUAUACCAGUGCAAAGCUGGCCAAGAUUUAUAUGUCCAGGAUCGUAUGUCUGCAUGGAGUUCCGAGGACCAUCGUAUCAGAUAGAGGAACACAAUUUACUUCAAAGUUCUGGCAUCAGUUACAUCAGACAUUGGGAACAAGGUUAGAGUUUAGUACAGCUUUUCACCCGCAGACAGAUGGACAGACCGAGAGAGUGAACCAAAUUUUGGAGGACAUGUUGAGAGCCUGUGCGCUAGAUUAUGGAUCUAGUUGGGAUGACAAUUUGCCUUAUGCAGAGUUCUCGUACAACAAUAGCUACCAAGCAAGUUUGAAGAUGGCACCGUUUGAAGCCCUGUAUGGACGCAGGUGCAGAACACCUUUGAUGUGGGACGAGGUAGGAGACUGACAAUUGUUUGGACUAGACUUGAUCAAAGAGUCUGAGGAGAAGGUUAAAUUGAUUCGUGACAGAUUGAAGAUUGCUCAGUCCAGGCAGAAGAGUUGUGCGGACUCAAAACGCAAAGAGGUAACCUAUGAGAUUGGAGACAGAGUAUAUCUGCGAGUAUCUCCCUUGCGAGGAGUGAAACAUUUUGGAGUUAAGGGGAAACUAGCUCCGAGAUUUGUAGGACCGUAUCGUGUUUUGGAACGGAUGAGAGAAGUUGCUUACAAGUUGGAGUUACCCGAGGGAUUGUCAGGAGUUCAUGAUGUGUUCCACAUUUCACAGCUAAAGAAGUGUCAUGCUGAGAGGGCCGAUAUACUGUUAAGAGAUACAGUACCCUUGGAGGCAAUUCAGUUGGACAGUGAUUUGACUUACGAGGAGAAGCCAGUAAAGAUUCUUGAGUUUGCCAGCAGAGUCACCCGCAGUAAGGUUAUCAAGUUUUGCAAAGUUCAGUGGAGCCACCAUACCGAGGAUGAAGCCACCUGGGAACGAGAGGAUGAUCUUCGCAAAGACCACCCACACCUAUUUUCUAGCCAACCCGAAUCUCGAGGGCGAGAUUCAUCUUAAGGCGGGUAGGUUUGUAACAUCCCAAAUUUUUCAAUUUGGAAUGUUAUACAUAGUCAUCCAUGCAUAUCAUAUAAUAUUUGCAUUUUGUCUAGCGAUCCUCGAAAUCCUAAGCAACUCAAGGACCCUCGGAGAGAGUUGGGGAUUUUCCCGGUUUUCAAAUUUGAUUUUAUCAAAUUUUGAAACGAGGAUUUUGGUUUUAAUUAUUUUCUCUCCGAAAAUAUUUCAUACUAAAAUAUAUGAGAGGAGAUAAUAUGAUUUCUCCAAGAUAAUUGAAAUAUUGGAGGAAAAAUAUUCAAAUCAAAUAUUUGUUUUAUUUGGAUUUUUUUGCAAUUUUGUUUGCAUUAGAAAAAUUGCACGCUUUUCAAAAUUGAAUUUUAGGGCCAAGAAAAUGUUCAUCUUGUUCUAAAUAUUUUAUUUAGAUGGCGAAAAUUUGUUUUGCCAUUUUUAGAUUUUAUUUUAUUUUUCUAGGAUUUUAUUUCUGUCAGGAGAAUUAUUAAAAAAAAGUUUCGCGCCCGACUGGGCCUAAGGCCCAGCCGAGCCAGGCCGCAGCCGCCUCCUGCGGGCGCGCGCCGUCGCCGCCGCUCGUACCGGAGUCCGAGUCGGACUCCGCCUGCCGCCGCACCUUGCCCCCUCCUCCAAGUCGCGCCGCCGCCCCGCCCUUUAUAUACGCCCGCCCCCGAGCCNNNNNNNNNNNNNNNNNNNNNNNNNNNNNNNNNNNNNNNNNNNNNNNNNNNNNNNNNNNNNNNNNNNNNNNNNNNNNNNNNNNNNNNNNNNNNNNNNNNNNNNNNNNNNNNNNNNNNNNNNNNNNNNNNNNNNNNNNNNNNNNNNNNNNNNNNNNNNNNNNNNNNNNNNNNNNNNNNNNNNNNNNNNNNNNNNNNNNNNNNNNNNNNNNNNNNNNNNNNNNNNNNNNNNNNNNNNNNNNNNNNNNNNNNNNNNNNNNNNNNNNNNNNNNNNNNNNNNNNNNNNNNNNNNNNNNNNNNNNNNNNNNNNNNNNNNNNNNNNNNNNNNNNNNNNNNNNNNNNNNNNNNNNNNNNNNNNNNNNNNNNNNNNNNNNNNNNNNNNNAGUCACCGCCGCCUGCGCUAGCCGCCGCCGCCGCUUGCUGCCGCCACAGCCCCGCGCCACCGCUGCCGCUUGCCGCCGCCCCCGCCGCCGCCCUCGCCUCCUCGGAGCCCCCUCGCCGGAGGUAGCUGUCGGACCCGCCGCCUUUUUUUUAAAACCGUUCAAUUUUUUUAAAAACCCUAGAUCCGUUUUUCGGAUUCGCCGGUUUUUUCUCGGUUCUUCUAGUUAGCGGACGUUUGUCCGUAUGUUCGUUUUAACGAACGGUUUUCGCCCGUUAGAUCCAGCUAACGACCGCUCGUACGUUAGUCUGUUCGUCAGUUUUCUUUUAUCGGAUUUAUUCUGCGAUUUUUCUGAUCGCGAUUUCUGAUCCGAUCUUAGUUUCUGUUUUUCUUCUCGCUCAUUAGUCGGAAUUAGGCAAUUCAAGCGCCUAGAGUUUCGUCUCGAAACCCUCUUUCCGUUUAACCAACUCAAAUAAGCUUUUGCUACUGUAAAAUUUGACCUACGUUCAGAUUAGUAAAUGAAGCUUCUUUCUUUCACCGUUUGAGUUUCGUUGCUCCGUUUGAUUUGAUUCUUUUUGCGAACCGGAGUUCUUAAGUUGAACCUUCUGGUCAACCCCUCUUAUUUGAGAUUUACCCGUGCUUCUUUGCUUGUUGCUUAUGUUAGUUAUUGUUUGUUUGCGAUAGAACACCCGGAGUGCAAAGCGUGCUACUACGAGUCCCUAGGUUUCGCAGACCGUCAGCAAGGCAAGUAACACUUUGAUCAUAUCCCUUUUAUCACCCAGUUUUUAUGCAUUAGUUCCAAUCCUCAAACAUUGCAUGAUUAGGAUAUCAUUAACAUGUGGGUUGGGAAGUAGUUGUUGAGGUAGAACCUAUUACCCUGUUACAUUCAAACCCUUGGGAGUUACUCUACGCGUUGCUUAUAUUACUAUGCUAUGCUAUGCUCGUAGACGUGGUUUGGGUUUGAGUGAAAUCCAUGACAGAUGUGAGAUUGUUAAUUAAUGGUUCAAACUUAAGGUGGCAACUUAAAUUAACAUCUGCGUGGAUUGAGGCACCUGGAGUACCCAGUGUUGCCUGUAUUUUUGGAAAUCCCGGAGUACCCGUGUGAUCUUCCUAUGGACCGCCACCCAGGCUCAAAGGGAACUGAGAUGAUUCAUGCUAGAAAACUUUUGUGUGCAGCCACAAGCUAUUAUGGGCUCUAGCAUAGUUGACUAAGCUACGUGAAGCUCUUGAAGAGGCAUAUCAGCAGGUAGUGGGAUGUAGGUUUGGUAUGGUCUGUCCGGAGUAAAGAGUUAAUGUUUCUGAAAGACUGUGUCUUGGUCAUCCGUUUCCCAAACACCUUGUAGUGCGGGAAUUCCAGCGGAGGCGAUCGAGUCUUGUGGGGAAAAGUGCGCAAACCUCUCCAGAGUGUAUAAUCUAAUCAUGGUUAGCUGUGUCCCCGGUUAUGGACAAUUCUUGAGUAUCUAGUAUUUGAGUUAUCACAUGUAUCUCAUCAUUUAUUAAAUAAUAUUGUUGGGAUGUUAAUCACUUUAAUUGGGAUUGAGUUGGAGGAACCUUCUCAAUGAUGUUUCAACUACCAUGAUAGUAAAAUUAAAAUCUACUCCUUUGUUGUAGGGAAAAAUUGGCUUUUCACAAAAGCUAUAACCAUAGAGCUUUCCACCAGCGAAAUAUGCAUGUAGUGAUAGCAUUAUUCUGUUCUUGCUCUACUGUGUUAUUUUGCCAGCAUAUUCCAUGUGCUGACCCGUUUUCGGGCUGCAACAUAUUAUGUUGCAGACUUUUCAGACAAGGAGUAAGGUUCGUUAGGUCGUUGCCGUGCAGCUCAGUUAUGCCAUUAGAGUUGAUGGACUCACUUUAUCUUCCAAGCCUUCCGAUGUUAUCGUAUUAGAUAGCCUUAAGCCAUAUUACUGUAAUAAGUUCUCUUUUGAGACAUUCGAUGUAAUAAGUGUGUGAUUGCCACUCUGUUAUAAAUCCUUCGAGUACUGUGUGUGUCGGCAUUACCGAUCCAGGGAUGACACUGGAGCACAGAGACUUGACCAUCUGAGGUCGGGUCGCUACAUCGGUCUCAACAAACACACCACAAAAAGAAGAUUACAUCAAAUAGAUCUCCACAAGAGAGGGGGGGAACUUUGUAUUGAGAUUCAAAGAGAGAGAAGAAGCCAUCUAGCUACUAACUAUGGACCCGAAGGUUUGAGGUAAAAUACUCACACUUCAUCGGAGAGGCUAUGAUGAUGUAGAAGCCCUCCGUGAUGACAGCCCUCUUCCGGCGGAGCUCCGAAACAGGCCCCAAGAUGGGAUCUCGUGGAUACAGAAAGUUGCGGUGGUGGAAUUAGGUUUUUGGCUCCUCAUCUGACCGCUUGGGGGUACGUGUGUAUAUAUAGGACACUACUACAGAAACAUGCAUUAACGACAGUGCCCAAAAAACUGUUGAUCGUUAAACAACCGAGUUGUGUUCCUGCAUGAUUGGAUCAGUCUAAGUAAUACCUUCACAACCACCAGAUUGCACAUUGCUAAGUAGGCGGUCGUUAUUGUUGUGAUAUUGUUUUGCGCGUACAAUGCUCUAACAAACUCACCUCUCAUUGUGUUAAAAAGUAUUCACCUCUCCUUUAUCUCUCCUCCCGUCUAAAAGAGAGCGGGACAGUUGAAUAUUUUUAGCGCAAAGUGCUGGCAAUUUCGAUCAGAUAACCCUCUAUAACAUCCAACAAAUAUUUAUAAUCUGUUAGGAUCCCAUACAUCUGCAUCUGUUUCUCCUCGCCUCCCCUACCCUGCUCAAUCCACGACACAUCCACAGUCCAUGGAUUGCAUCUUCCUUCUGUUCUACGCCUAUCCGUGCUGCAGCCUGCACCUCGCCGGUCGCCUCGACCCUGCCCAGGCGCGUCCGCGCUGCCGUCCGCACGUCACCGGUAGCCUUAACCCUGGUGCACCCGUGCUGCUGCCUGUACCUCGCUGGUCGCCUCAACCGUAGCCCGGUCAGGCGCGUCCGCGCUGCCGUCUGUACAUCACCCUCGACCCCAGUGCGCCCGCACUGCCGUCUGCACAUCCACCAACGCGAUUCCGUUGCAGGUUUGUGGGUAUUCCAGUAUUCGUCCUUCCUCUGUUUUCUUGUUGCAGGGGUUCUUCAUGUACUGUAUUGAUUGGUCGGUUAACUUAUUUUUCUACAUGGUCAACUAAUUUUUGCAUUACCAUGUUAAUUAAGCUUUGUAUUAUUGUAGUGAGUACUCCAGUAGUCAACAUGGAUGUUCACUGCAAACCACCAUGUGGAACCAGAAGUUCAAUCAGUGGUUCAAAUAGAAGGUAAGACAAAAUGUUCCAGAAUAAUGUGUGUAUUUACACACAUAUGCACGUACAUUUCUAUAUCUCCGUAUGAAGAUGGUAACAUAGCUAUCCAUUACUCCAUAGGUAGCUAGCUUGCACGAACAUGAUAACAUGUUUUACUGGCUAUGGCAUGAAUAGAUUCAGAUAUCGUGUUUAGAGCCGAGAUAGACUCCUCUACACACAAAACAAUGGGGUGGUUGUCCUUUGAGAAGAAGGGGAUAAUGGUAAUACUGUAGAAUAUUCUGGCAUACUGACACUUUGACUGGAUUCACGUAUUUAACAAAGAGCAUGGGAUGAAGAAAUAAAACAAGCAUGGAAUCCUUAGUCUUAACCUGCAGUGUUUACUUCGAACAGAUGAGCCUUUUAGUCUAGCUAGCCAAGUUUCCUUUUUUUGUCAAGGACAAUCUUAUUAAUUCUCUUGUUACUUUCCUUUAGCUUACUGCUUAGGGUGCUCCAACUACACGUUCCCUAGUUUAUAGCCUUGCUAGUUUGCUUGUUUUUUGCCGCUAACUUGUACUUAUACUCCCCCCUAAUAACUCCCUCACUAGUCUCUUAUAAAUAUGUAACCCUCUAGACAUUGUUGUUUUAUUUAAAAGGUCAGUGGGAGCCUCUCCCACUGUCACAAAGUUUCAAAAAAAUUAAAAGUAUGGAAUGCAGUAAUAAAGCAUCCAUCACACCAUUCUUAUAAUGUACCACAUGGAUAGUCCAAUGAUGAAGCCUCUGAACCCAAGCGCGACGACAAUGGCGACGAAGAUGACUUGCUUCAAAAUUCAACAAAAACAUCGCGUAGAAAGAGAACAACAUGAUGCCACGAAUUUAUGCAAGUCUUAAUCUGUAGUAAUCAAUUUGCUUCAUAUUUUUUCUUUUACCUUAUUAAUAAAUAGUGACACAAGUAGUUCUCUACUUACUUUCUUUGAUUUAGCAUCCAGUAAUUCAUUUUCAGUACAUAAAUAUUCACUUAUUUAAUUUAACUAUACUUUUGUACAGCCUUUGUGCACACUUUAGAAUAACGCUUUAUGUAUAGGUUAUCCCAUUGAGUUAGCAAAGAAAUCAAGUGAGUAGCAGAUUUCAGUAGAAAAGGGGUUACACACAGGCUCAUAUGCAAGAAGAGGAACUGAUCAGGAAAAAAGUACGAGUUGGCUACAAAAGGUACUAGUCAAACAUAAAAAUAUUAUUCAAGCUAUAUUCUAAUGGAUGAUAUAUUGUGGUUGCUUGUUUUCAUAGAUGUGAUUGAUGCACCGACAAAUACAUAAGGCUUGUUUAGUACAAAUUGGGAUGCAGAUGAUUCUGAAAGUGAGUUUCUAGGUAGCAUGUACUGUCCCUAGAAUUAUUUCUAUGCUUUAUUGUCUUCAAGUUACUCAUAAUAUAUUACAGGUAUGAAUGAUGAAGUUGAUGCCAGCAAUGAUAGUGACAAGGGAGAUGAUAUUGAUGAAUUUUAUGGUAUGAAAAAUGUCAUUUUUAUAUUUUAUUCCUUCAUCCACCCUACUACAGAUUGGUUGUACAUUUCCAGACACUGCAAAUGGUGUAGAUGAGUUAAUAGUUGAUGAAAAUAUUGAAUGUGAAUAAGCCCAGGGUAACCAUGGCCUUGCAGCUACCACCAAGACUCAUAAGCACAACAAUGGAACUGGAUCUGUUUACAAAAAUCUGGAAUUAGAGCAAGAUAUUUGUGAGGACCAGCAUUAAGUAAGGCUAUUUUUUUCUUCUAAACUUAAAGCUUCCGAGCAAGAAAAACAAGUACUUGUAGAAAAGUACAAUGGCAUGGUGCAAGAAGUGUCAGAAAUUAAGCGUCUUAUGUUUGAGUUCUCAUGAAAGGCAGCAUGAUCAUGUUGUUCUUGUACAUUGAUUUUCUCUGCAUUUAUAAUUUGUGCCAAUUAAUUUACAAGGACUGACUUUCAUAAACUACAAAACAUUUUGUAGGAUUGACGGUCCACAACAAGAUAUAGAAGCAUCAGACGGUGUUGUAUUCACCGAUGAAGAAUGAUAUCCAUUCAAACAAUGAUGGUGUCCCACGAUUGAAGAUUGAUAAAUAUUAUAUUUUCUAGUUGUCUUGUUUUCCAAAUAGAUAUGAGCAAGUAUAUUGGUCAUAUAAGGAGUGAUUUUGACUCGAAUGUCUUAAAUGACAUUUUAAUUGAAGAAUUGUAUGUUAGAAUUUUUGUAUUUCUAUUAAUAAAGAGGCUAUGAUCCUUUCAAUUCAUAUUAUUUUGUUUCUAUAUUAUUAUGGAUGUUAAAAUUCAAAUGUUGGAUGUUGUGUAAAGCGAUCCUUGAACGGAAAGUUAUACUAAAUAUAAAUGGUUUUGAAGUAUAUCAAAGUGGUGAAGAGAGUGGUCGGCAAUGAUACUUUGGUCCCCAUGAUAAUAUUAUUAGCAUACUUUGGUCACCAUGAUAAUAUUAUUAGCGUGGCAAAAGUGGUUGUUAAUACCAUAAUUGUGGUUGAUAUUGCCUUGGGAUUGACGACGACACACCUUCUCCUUGUUAUAAGAAUAACGACUGCAAAAGUUAUGUGGUCGUUAUACUUUUAACAACGGAGCCUACUACGACUAGCAGAUUGUGGUCGUUAUUGACCUUUAACGACCACAAUCCGACUUUCAGCGACCACAUUUACUGUCGUUAAAGACUGUUUUCCUAGUAGUGGGAGGAAGGAGUACAUCGGUGGAGCACCGAGGGGCCCACGAGGCAGGAGGCGCGCCCUAGGGGGGGUGCCCCCCACCCUCGUGACCACCUCUUUGACCCCCUGGAGUAGGGUCCAAGUCUCCUGGAUCACGUUCAAUGAGAAAAUCACGUUCUCGAAGAUUUUAUUCCGUUUGGACUCCGUUUGAUAUUCUAUUUAUCCGAAACACUGAAAUAGGCAAAAAAACAGCAAUUCUGGGUUGGGCCUCCGGUUAAUAGGUUACUCCCAAAAAUAAUAUAAAAGUGGAAAAUAAAGCCCAAUAUAGUCCAAAACAGUAGAUAAUAUAGCAUGGAGCAAUCAAAAAUUAUAGAUACGUUGGAGACGUAUCAGACAUCCCCAAGCUUAAUUCCUGCUCUUCCUCGAGUAGGUAAAUGAUAAAAAGAGAAUUUUUGAUGUGGAGUGCUACUUGGCAUAAUUUCAAUGCAAAUCUUCUUAAUUGUGGUAUGAAUAUUCAAAUUAGAAAGAUUCAAGACAAAAGUUUAUAUUGACAUAAAAAUAAUAAUACUUCAAGAAUACUAACAAAGAAAUUAUGUCUUCUCAAAAUAACAUGGCCAAAGAAAGUUAUCCCUACAAAAUCAUAUAGUCUGGCUAUGCUCCAUCUUCACCACACAAAGUAUUUAAAUCAAGCACACCCCCGAUGAUAAACCAAGCAAUUGUUUCAUACUCUAACUUUUUCAAAACUUUUUCAAUCUUCACGCAAUACAUGAGCGUGAGCCAUGGAUAUAGCACUAUAGGUGGAAUAGAAUGGUGGUUGUGGAGAAGACAAAAAGGAGGGGAAGAUAGCCUCACAUCAACUAGGCAUAUUGUAACACCCCGAACACACCCGCCGGUGGUCGUUACUCCUGGCGGGAUCUAGACUGGCCCCAUAGAUCAAUACUAGUCUUUUCUGCGCACUUUGUCCUCACUCAUGCGCACCCGGGAGAAACUUCCCAGUCGGUCACCCAUCCUGACACUACUCCAAGCUGAGCACGCUUAACUUUGGAGUUCUGUCCGAAUGGGCUACCGGAAAAGAAGGAAUUCCUUAUUGAUAUGAGUAGUAUAUCAUCCCUAAUAAGCCAGUCUAUCACAUACACCCCCACUCAGAGGAACCGACGUCCUCGUCGGGCCACAGGAAUGUUCCCUCUUGGCACAACCGUAUGUGCAUCCAGUCCGGUACAUGUGCCAUGCCGUGUGCCACGACGGGUCACAAACGUCAUGAACAACAUGAUCGCGCACCUAUCCGCAACCAUCCGUGUAACCGUGAGGGUCGGCUCUGAUACCAACUUGUAACGCCCCGAACACACCCGCCGGUGGUCGUUACUCCUGGCGGGAUCUAGACUGGCCCCACAGAUCAAUACUAGUCUUUUCUGCACACUUUGUCCUCACUCAUGCGCACCCGGGAGCAACUUCCCAGUCGGUCACCCAUCCUGACACUACUCCAAGCUGAGCACGCUUAACUUUGGAGUUCUAUCCGAAUGGGCUACCGGAAAAGAAGGAAUUCCUUAUUGAUAUGAGUAGUCUAUCAUCCCUAAUAAGCCAGGCUAUCACACAUAUCAACGGGCUAUGGAGAUGCCCAUCAAUAGAUAUCAAUGUGAGUGAGUAGGGAUUGCCAUGCAACGGAUGCACUAGAGCUAUAAAUAUAUGAAAGCUCAACAAAAGAAACUAGUGGGUGUGCAUCCAACUUGCUUGCUCACGAAGACCUAGGGCAAUUUUGAGGAAGGCCAUCAUUGGAAUAUACAAGCCAAGUUCUAUAAUGUAAAAUUCCCACUAGUAUAUGAAAGUGACAACAUAUGAGACUCUAUAUGAAGAACAUGGUGCUACUUUGAAGCACAAUAUAUGAGACUCGCUAUAUCAUGGUGCUACUUUGAAGCACAAGUGUGGUAAAAGGAUAGUAGCAUUGCCCCCCUUUUUAGGCCUUUUUUUGGCCUUUCUAUUUUUUUAUUGGGACAAUGCUCUAUUGAAUGAUGAUCAUCACACUUUUAUUUAUUUACAACUCAAUGAUUACAACUCGAUUCUAAAACAAAGUAUGACUCUAUAUGGAUGCCUCCGGCGGUGUACCGGGAUAUGCAAUGAAUCAAGAGUGACAAGUAUGAAGAAAUUAUGAACAGUGGCUUUGCCAUAAAUACUAUGUCAACUACAUGAUCAUGCUAAGCAAUAUGACAAUUAUAUGUGUCAUGAUGAACUAGAUGGUGGAAAGUUGCAUGGCAAUAUAUCUCGGAAUGGCUAUGGAAAUGCCAUAAUAGGUAGGUAUGGUGGCUGUUUUGAGGAAGGUAUAUGGUAGGUGUAUGAUACCGGCGAAAGGUGCGCGGUAUUAGAGUGGCUAGCAAAGGUGGGAGGGUGAGAGUGCGUAUAAUCCAUGGACUCAACAUUAGUCAUAAAGAACUCAUAUACUUAUUGCAAAAAUCUAGAAGUUAUCAAAGAAAAGUAUUACGCGCAUGCUCCUAGGGGGAUAGAUUGGUAGCAAAAGACCAUCGCUCGUCCCCGACCGCCACUCAUAAGGAAGACAAUCAAUAAAUAAAUCAUGCUCCGACUUCGUUACAUAACGGUUCACCAACGUGCAUGCUACGGGAAUCACAAACUUUAACACAAGUAUUCUUUAAAUUCACAACUACUCAACUAGCAUGACUUUAAUAUUAUCACCUCCAUAUCUCAAAACAAUUAUCAUGCUUCAAUCUUUUCUUAGUAUUCAACACACUCAAAAGAAUGUUUCACAAAUCUUAAAUACCAACCAUAUUAUUAUUAAGCAAAUUACCAUGCUAUUAAUAGACUCUCAAAAUAAUUUAAGUUAAUCAUGAGAGAUCAAUAGUUUCUUUAAAACAAAUCCACCACCGUGCUCUAAAAGAUCUAAGUGAAGCACAUAGAGCAAAAUUAUAACGCUCAAAAGAUAUAAGUGAAGCACAUAGAGCAAAAUUAUCUAGCUCAAAAGAUAUAAGUGAAGCACAAAGAGCAAAACUACUUAGCUCAAAAAGAUAUAAGUGAAGCACAUAGAGCAAAAUUAUCUAGCUCAAAAGAUAUAAGUGAAGCACAUAGAGCAAAAUUAUCUAGCUCAAAAGAUAUAAGUGAAGCACAUAGAGUAUUAUAUCAAAUUUUAAUUCAUGUAUGGCUCUCUCAAAAGGUGUGUACAGCAAGGAUGAUUGUGGCAUACUAAGACACAAAGACACAAAUAAUACAAGACGCUCCAAGCAAAACACAUAUCAUGUUGGUGAAUAAAAAUAUAGCUCCAAGUAAAUUACCGAUGGAAGUGGACGAAAGAGGGGAUGCCUUCCGGGGCAUCCCAAAGCUUUGACUUUUUGGUGUCCUCGGAUUAUCUUGGGGGUGCCAUGGGCAUCCCCAAGCUUAGGCUCUUUCCACUCCUUGUUCCAUGAUCCAUCAAAAGAAUUCACCCAAAACUUGAAAACUUCACAACACAAAGCUCAAAAUAGAAAAAUCGUGAGCUCCGUUAGCGAAAGAAAACAAAAGACCACUUCAAGAUACUGUAAUGAACUCAUUCUUUAUUUAUAUUGGUGUUAAACCUACUGUAUUCCAACUUAUCUAUGGAUUAUAAACUAUUUUACUAGCCAUAGAUUCAUCAAAAUAAGCAAACAACACAAGAAAAACAGAAUCUGUCAAAAACAGAACAAUCUGUAGUAAUCUGUAGCUAGCGCAAGAUCUGGAACCCCAAAAAUUGUAAAAUAAAUUUCUGGACGUGAGGAAUUUAUCUAUUAAUCAUAUUCAAAAAUAAUUAACUAAAUAUCACUCUACAAAUAAAAAUUACAGCAGUUCUCGUGAGCGCUAAAGUUUCUGUUUUUUACAGCAAGUUCAACAAGACUUUCCCCAAGUCUUCCCAACGGUUCUACUUGGCACAAACACUAAUUAAACACAAAAAACACAACCAAAACAGAGGCUAAAUAAUUUAUUUAUUGAAUAACAUCAAGGAAAAAUAUUGGAUUAUCUCCCAACAAGCGCUUUUCUUUAGAGCCUUAUAGCUAGGCAAUGAUAAUUUUAAUGAUGCUCACAUGAAAGACAAGAACUGAAGCACAAAAGGAGCAUCAUAAAGCAUGUGACAAACACAUCUAAGUCUAACAUACUUCCUAUGCAUAGGAAUCUCAUAGACAAACAAAUUAUCAAGGCAAGCAAAAAUUAGCAUAUGCAAGGAAGAGGAAAGAAACAAUAGCAAUCUCAACAUAACGAGAGGUAAUUUAGUAACAUGAAAAUUUCUACAACCAUAUUUUACUCUCUCAUAGUAAUUACAUGUAGGAUCAUAAUCAAAUUCAACAAAAUAUCUAUCACAUAAAAUAUUUUCAACAUGAUCCACAUGCAUCCAAAGUUGACACUCUUCCAAAAUAGUGGGAUUAACAUUAACUAAAGUCAUGACUUCUCCAAACCCACUUUUAUCAAGAUUUUCAUAAGAUUGAACAUUCUCCAAAUAUGUGGGAUCUAAAGUUGACACUCUUCCAAACCCACUUUCAAUAAUAUUGCAAACACUAUUAUCAAUCUCAUAUUCAUCAUGGGGCUUAAAUAAAUUUUCAAGAUCAUAAGAAGAAUCACCCCAAUCAUGAUCAUUGCAACAAGUAGUAGGCAUAGCAAAACUGGCAUCCCCAAGCUUAGGGUUUUGCAUAUUAUUAGCAUAAUUGACAUUAAUAGAGAUUAUAAUAACAUCAUUGCAAUCCUGCUUUUUAUUCAAAGAUCUAUCGUGAAUCACUUCAUAAAAUACUUCAUCGCAAUUUUUAGAUUCACGAAUUUCAAGCAAAACUUCAUAAAGAUAAUCUAGUGCACAAAACUCACUAGCAAUUGGUUCAACAUAACUGGAUCUCUUAAAAAGAUUAGCAAGCGGAUGAGGAUCCAUAAAUCUUAGGUUCUCUGUUUAGUAAUAAAUAAACGACUAUUCCAAUCAUACGAGAAAACAAAAGGCAAGCGAGAAAAAGGCAAACGAAAAAGGAGGAGGAGAAGGAGAAAGAGAGGGCGAAUAAAACGGCAAGGGUGAAGUGGGGGAGAGGAAAACGAGAGGCAAAUGGCAACUAAUGUAAUGCGAGAGAUAGGGAUUGUGAUGGUUACUUGGUAUGUUGACUUUUUACGUAGACUCCCCGGAAAUGGCGCUAGAAAUCCUUCUUGCUAUGUCUUGAGCUUGCGUUGGUUUUCCCCGAAGAGGAAGGGAUGAUGCACCAGAGUAGCAUAAGUAUUUCCUCAGUUUUUGAGAACCAAGGUAUCAAUCCAUUAGGAGGCCACGCUCAAGUCCCUCAUACCUGCACAAAAUCAUAGCUACUCACAACCAACGCGAUUAGGGGUUGUCAAUCCCUUCACGGUCACUUACGAGAGUGAGAUCUGAUAGAUAUAAUAUUUUUGGUAUUUUUGGUAUAAAGAUGCAAAGUAAAAAGUAAAAAAGCAAAGCAAGAUUAAAGUGAUGGAGAUUGAUAUGAUGAGAAUAGACCCGGGGGCCAUAGGUUUCACUAGUGGCUUCUCUCACGAGCAUAAGUAUUCUACGGUGUGUGAACAAAUUACUGUUGAGCAAUUGACAGAAUUGAGCAUAGUUAUGAGAAUAUCUAGGCAUGGUCAUGUAUAUAGGCAUCACGUCCAUGACAAGUAGAUCGAAACGAUUCUGCAUCUACUACUAUUACUCUACUCAUCGACCGCUAUCCAGCAUGCAUCUAGAGUAUUAAGUUAAAAACAGAGUAAUGCCUUAAGCAAGAUGACAUGAUGUAGAGAGAUAAAUUCUUGCAAUAUGAAAUAAACCCCAUCUUGUUAUCCUCGAUGGCAACGUACAAUAUGUGCCUUGCUGCCCCUUCUGUCACUGGGUAAGGACACCACAAGAUCAAACCCAAAGCUAAGCACUUCUCCCAUGGCAAGAACUACCAAUCUAGCUGGCCAAACCAAACGGAUAAUUAGAAGAGACUUGCAAAGAUAACCAAUCAUAAAUAAAAGAAUUCAGAGAAGAUUCAAAUAUUAUUCAUAGAUAGACUUGAUCAUAAACCCACAAUUCAUCGGUCUCAACAAACACACCGCAAAAAGAAGAUUACACUGAAUAGAUCUCCACAAGAGAGGGGGAGAACUUUGUAUUGAGAUUCAAAGAGAGAGAAGAAGCCAUCUAGCUACUAACUAUGGACCCGAAGGUCUGAGGUAAACUACUCACACUUCAUCGGGGAGGCUAUGAUGAUGUAGAAGCCCUCCGUGAUGACGGCCCUCUUCCGGCGGAGCUCCGGAACAGGCCCCAAGAUGGGAUCUCGUGGAUACAGAAAGUUGCGGUAGUGGAAUUAGGUUUUUGGCUCCUCAUCUGAUCGUUUGGGGGUACGUGUGUAUAUAUAGGAGGAAGGAGUACGUCGGUGGAGCACCGAGGGGCCCACGAGGCAGGGGGGCGCACCCCCCACCCUCGUGACCUCCUCUUUGACCCCCUAGAGUAGGGUCCAAGUCUCCUGGAUCACGUUCGGUGAGAAAAUCACGUUCCCGAAGAUUUUAUUCUGUUUGGACUCCGUUUGAUAUUUUGUUUAUCCGAAACACUGAAAUAGGAAAAAAACAGCAAUUCUGGGUUAGGCCUCUGGUUAAUAGGUUAGUCCCAAAAAUAAUAUAAAAGUGCAAAAUAAAGCCCAAUAUAGUCCAAAACAGUAGAUAAUAUAGCAUGGAGCAACCAAAAAAUAUAGAUACGUUGGAGACGUAUCAGGCCCCUCGUUGCUCCACCGACCUACUUCUUCCUCCUAUAUAUAUUCAUAUACCCCGCAAACGUCUAGGAGCACCACGAAACCCUAUUUCCACCACCGCAACCUUUUGUACCCAAGAGAUCCCAUCUUGGGGCCUUUUUCAGAGCUCCGCUGAAGGGGCAUUGAUCACGGAGGGCCUCUACAUCAACUCCAUGGCCCCUCCGAUGAUGUGUGAGUAGUUUACCUCAGACCUUCGGGUCCAUAGCUAGUAGCUAGAUGGCUUCUUCUCUCUCUUUGGAUCUCAAUACAAAGUUCUCCUUGAUUCUCUUAGAGAUAUAUUCGAUGUAAUCUUCUUUUGCGGUGUGUUUGUCGAGAUCCGAUGAAUUGUGGGUUUAUGAUCAAGUCUAUCUAUGAACAAUACUAGAAUCUUCUCUGAAUUCUUUUAUGUAUGAUUGGUUUAUCUUUGCAAGUAUCUUCGAAUUAUCAGUUUGGUUUGGCCUACUAGAUUGAUCUUUCUUGCAAUGGGAGAAGUGCUUAGCUUUGUGUUCAAUCUUGCGGUGCUCGAUCCCAGUGAUAGAAAGGGAAACGACACGUAUUGUAUUGUUGCCAUCGAGGAUAAAAACAUGGGGUUUACAUGAUAUUGCAUGAGUUUAUCCCUCUACAUCAUGUCAUCUUGCUUAAGGCGUUACUCUGUUCUUAUGAACUUAAUACUCUAGAUGCAUGCUGGAUAGCGGUCGAUGUGUGGAGUAAUAGUAGUAGAUGCAGGCAGGAGUCGGUCUACUUGUCACAGACGUGAUGACUAUAUACAUGAUCAUACCUAGAUAUUCUCAUAAUUAUUCGCUUUUCUAUCAAUUGCUCGACAGUAAUUUGUUCACCCACCAUAAUAAUUAUGCUAUCUUGAGAUAAGCCACUAGUGAAACCUAUGGCCUGUUGGAAAUAUGCCCUAGAGGCAAUAAUAAAAUGGUUAUUAUUAUAUUUCUUUGUUCAUGAUAAUUGUCUAUUGUUCAUGCUAUAAUUGUGUUAUCCGGAAAUCGUAAUACAUGUGUGAAUACAUAGACCACAACACGUCCCUAGUGAGCCUCUAGUUGACUAGCUCGUUGAUUAAAAGAUAGUCAUGGUUUCCUGACUAUGGACAUUGGAUGUCAUUGAUAAUGGGAUCACAUCAUUAGGAGAAUGAUGUGAUGGACAAGACCCAAUCCUAAGCAUAGCUCAAAGAUCGUGUAGUUCGUUUGUUGUAGCUUUUCUGAAUGUCAAGUAUCAUUUCCUUAGACCAUGAGAUUGUGCAACUCCCGGAUACCGUAGGAGUGCCUUGGGUGUGCCAAACGUCACAACGUAACUGGGUGACUAUAAAGGUACAUUACAGGUAUCUCCGAAAGUGUCUGUUGGGUUGGCAUGAAUCGAGACUGGGAUUUGUCACUCCGUAUGACGGAGAGGUAUCUCUGGGCCCACUCGGUAAUGCAUCAUCAUAAUGAGCUCAAUGUGAUCAAGUGGUUGAUCACGGGAUCAUGCAUUACGGUACGAGUAAAGUGACUUGCCGGUAAUGAGACCGAACAAGGUAUUGGGAUACCGACGAUCGAGUCUCGGGCAAGUAACGUACCAAUUGACAAAGGGAAUUGUAUACGGAUUGAUUGAAUCCUCGACAUCGUGGUUCAUCUGAUUAGAUCAUCGAGGAGCAUGUGGGAGCCAACAUGGGUAUCCAGAUCCCGCUGUUGGUUAUUGACCGGAGAGUCGUCUCGGUCAUGUCUGCAUGUCUCCCGAACCCGUAGGGUCUACACACUUAAGGUUCGGUGACGCUAGGGUUGUUAGGAAGACUUGUAUGUGAUUACCGAAUGUUGUUCGGAGUCCCAGAUGAGAUCCCGGACGUCACGAGGAGUUUCGGAAUGGUCCGGAGGUGAAGAUUUAUAUGUAGGAAGUUCAUACGGUCACCGGAAAGGUUCGGGGGCAUAUCGGUAUUGUACCAGGGCCACCGGAGGGGUUCCGGGGGUCCACCGGGAAGGGCCACCUCUCUCGGAGGGCCUAAUGGGCUGUAGAGGAAAGGGAACCAGCCCUACAUGGGCUGGCCACAUCCCCCCCUUGGGCCCAUGCGCCUAGGGUUGGGGGGGAAACCCUAAAGGGGGCGCCCCCCUUGCUUGGGGGGCAAGCCCCCUCCCCUUGGCCGCCGCCCCCCCCCCUCUAGAUCUCAUCUAGAGGGGGGCGGACCCCUUCCUCCUUCCCCUAUAAAUAGAGGGGCAAGGGGAGGGCUGUAUAGAUCAUCCAAGGUGCAGCCCCUCCCCUCCCAAACACCUCUCCUCCUCCGUAAGAGCUUGGCGAAGCCCUGCCGGAGUACUGCAGCUUCACCACCAUCACGCCGUCGUGCUGCUGUUGGAGCCCUCUUCCUCAACCUCUCCCUCCUCCUUGUUGGAUCAAGGCGCGGGAGACGGUCUCGCUCCGUACGUGUGUUGAACGCGGAGGUGCCGUCCGUUCGGCGCUAGGAUCUUCGGUGAUUUGGAUCACGACGAGUACGACUCAAUCAACCCCGUUCUCUUGAACGCUUCCGCUCGUGAUCAACAAGGGUAUGUAGAUGCACUCCUCUCUCCCUCGUUGCUAGAUGACUCCAUAGAUUGAUCUUGGUGAUGCGUAGAAAAUUUUAAAAUUCUGCUACGUUCCCCAACAUGGCCCUGUGUCUAUUUUUCAUCAUACAAGCACUACUAGGAAAAGGCUAAUUAGUGGCGCACCUGUUUUGGCCAUUAAUGGCGCACUACAGGUGUGCCACUAUUAUCACGCCAUUAGUAAUAAAAUAGUAAUGACGCGCCAAUACUAUGCCUAUCUGGUGCGCCAUUACUAUCUGGCUUAAUAAUGGCGCACCACAUAGAAGUGCGCCAUUACUAACAAUUUUUUUUCAAAAAAAAAUUCAAUUAUUUUUUUUCGUUUUUUCUUAAUCUUGGGUCACUAUGGUGUAAUCUCAGGUCAAUAUGCUUAAUCACUAGUCAAAUCGCACUCUGUGGUCAAACUUCCCGGAAGGUCACCCAUUCUCACACUACUCCAACCCGAGCACGCUUAACUUGGCAGUUCUAUCCAACCCCAGCACCAACUCACUUCACAGGCACUUGUUGAUAUAUCUAUCAUAUCUAUCCUAUUACACCUUGUUGAUGUCUAGGACUUUGUUCAUGUUCAUGAGUGUGAUGAAAUUUUGAAAAAAUAUUUCAAACUUCCCGGUCAUAUUACAUAUCAUAUUUUGAAAAAAAAUCAAUUUUUUUAAACCAAAAUUUUUUCUGUUACUAGUGGCGCACCUAGAAAAUGGUGCGCCACUAAUAAGUUUGAUUUUUUUCAUUUCCCCCCCUCUAGAUCUUAAAAGCCCCGUAUCAAUUCGGAUGUAACUUUUCGAGUAGAAGAUUUUUCAUCUAGAAAAACUUUUUAAUCCGAGUUCGUAUGCAAAAGUUAUGCCCAUUUUACUAAAUUCCAGAGAGAUUUUGCAAAUAAAGUCAAAAUUCAUAGUUGUAAAUUUUCCCAACAACUAGACCACAUAUCACAUGGGAAACUUAUUUUCUUUUAUUUUUUUUGACAUUUCCAUCAUUUCCUUUUAUUUUUUUAAAACUGAAAUGGCGGUCCAUGGGGGGGGGAGGGGGCAUUUAGCACUAGGGUUACUAAUGACGCACCUGAUGUGUGGUGCGCCAUUACUAGUUUUGAAAAAAAAAUUAAAAAAAUGUUAGUAGUGGCGCACCAGUGGACAGUGCAAAAUCUCUCUAGAAUUUAGUAAAAUGGGCAUAACUUUUGCACUGUCCACUGGUGCGCCACUACUAACAACUUUUUAAAUUUUUUUGUCAAAACUACUAAUGGCGCACGGUGAGUGUGGUGCGCCAUUACUAGUUGACAUAGUAAUGGCGCACUAUCCCGUGGUGCACCAUUACUAACAAUUUUUUUUCAAAACUACUAAUGGCGCACCACACACCAAGUGCGCCAUUAGUAAUAUGUUAAUAAUGGCGCACCUGUAUCUGGUGUGCCACUGCUAUAUAGCAGUGGCCCACCACAUACAUGGUGCGCCAUUAAUGUCCAUAUCAUCUAUAGCCCUUUUCCUAGUAGUUAAGUUUCCAAUAUAUUUUAUUUUAUAAUCUUUACUUUCAAUCUAUAUCAUAAAAAUACCAAAAAUAUUUAUCUUAUUUUUAUCAUCUGUAUCAGAUCUCACUCUUGCAAGUGGCCGUGAAGGGAUUGACAACCCCUUUAUCGUGUUGGUUGCGAGGUUCUUAUUUGUUUGUGUAGGUACGAGGUGACUCGCGCGUGGUCUCCUACUGGAUUGAUAUCUUGGUUCUCAAAAACUGAGGGAAAUGCUUACUCUGCUUUACUGCAUCACCCUUUCCUCUUCAAGGGAAAACCAACUCAGUGCUCAAGAGGUAGCAGGGCAUAAGUCCCACUCUCUGUCAGCAUAGGAUUAAUAUGGAACCCGAUGCUAAACCAAUUGUGGAUCCUCAACGACGAUUAAAUACUAAGAAGUAGGUAUAAUCUAUCCCAUAGCUGAUAGUAGAUGGGUAAGUCCUGUUCAUCGUGUCCCUAAGAAAGGAGGUAUAACUGUUGUUCCUAAUGAUAAGAAUGAACUUAUUCCACAAAGAAUUGUGACUGGCUAUAGAAUGGUAAUUAAUUUCAAAAAAUUAAACAAAGCAACUAGAAAAGUUCAUUACCCUUGGCCUUUUAUUGAUCAAAUGUUAGAAAGAUUGUCAAAGCACACACACUUUUAUUUCCUUGAUGGAUAUUCCGGUUUCUCUCAAAUACAUGUAUCACAACCGGAUCAAGAGAAAACCACCUUUACUUGUCCUUUUGGAACUUAUGCUUAUAGACGUAUGCCUUUUGGUUUAUGUAAUGUACCUGCUACCUUUCAAAGAUGUAUAACUGCUAUAUUCUAUGACUUCUGUGAAAAGAUUGUUGAGGUUUUCAUGGAUGGUUUUUCAGUUUACGGAACUUCUUUUGAUGAUUGCUUAAGCAACCUUGAUCGAGUUUGCAAAGAUGUGAACAAACUAACAUUGUCUUGAAUUUGGAGAAGUGCCACUUUAUGGUGAAUGAGGGUAUUGUCUUGGGGCAUAAAAUUUCCGAAUGAGGUAUUGAGGAAGCUAAGGUUGAUGUAAUUGAGAAAAUGCCAUGUCCUAAAGUUAUUAAAGGUAUCGAAGUUUCCUUGGUCAUGUUGGUUUCUAUAUAAGGUUUAUUAAAGACUUCUCUAAAAUUUCUAGGCCUCUUACUAAUCUCUUCCAAAAAGAUGUUCCAUUUGUUUUUGAUGAUGAAUGUGUAGAAGCCUUUGACACACUUAAGAAAUCCUUAACUUCUGCACCUAUCAUUCAAUCACCUGAUUGGAACUUACCUUUUGAAAUUUGUGAUGCUAGUGAUUAUGCUGUUGGUGCUGUUCUAGGACAAAUAGUCGAUAAGAAAUCAAAUGUUAUCCAUUAUGCUAGUAAAACUCUAGACAGUGCUCAAAGAAACUAUGCUACUACUGAGAAAUAAUUUUUAGUAGUUGUGUUCUCCUGUGAUAAAUACCUUAUGGAAAAGAAAGAUGCUAAACCUAGACCCAUUAGGUGGGUUCUUUUGCUACAAGAAUUUGAUUUACAUAUCACUAAUAUGAAGGGGGUUGAGAAUCCUGUAGCUGAUAAGUUGUCUAGGUUAGAAAAUAUCCUUGAUGACCCACUACCUAUUGAUGAUAGCUUCCCGGAUGAACAACUAGCUGUCAUAAAUGCUUCUCAUAAUACUCCUUGGUAUGUAGACUAUGCUAAUUACAUUGUUGCUAUACCACCUAGUUUCACAUACCAGCAAAAGAAAAAAAAUUCUUCUUUGACUUAAGACAUUACUUUGGGGAUGACCGACAUCUUUAUAAAGGAGUAGAUGGUAUGAUUAGACAUUGUAUACCUGAGCAUGAACAUGAACAAAUCCUAUGGAAAUGUCACUUUGAGGCUGAUGAGGACAUCAAUACCAUUGUUACACCCACAGCCCCUACUGCUAUACACACUGGACCGAUUACUAGAGCUCGCGCACGCCAAUUGAAUUAUCAGGUACUUUCGUUUCUUGGUAACGAUUCUAAUGUUCAUGAGCAUAUGAUGCUGCCUAAAUUGGAUACAUUUGUUUUGCUUACAAAUGAAGGGCCUAGCUUGGACAAGAAAGAUGAACCUUGGAGCAAGUUCAAGCAUGGAGAUGAUGGCAUGCGCAAGGGGAACAAGAACGGAGUUACAAGUGAUGAUUCCAGGACUCUGAAGCCACCAUAAUGAGUGCAUGAAGCAUGGGAUGAAAUAUACAAUAUGCCACUUCAUAAAUUUCGUCCAGAGGCUAUUUUAGGUGCUGCAUCACCUUAUUAUUGGGCCAGGCCCAUGUAUUUUCGAAGUACUUAAGUAUAGGUUGUUUUUAGAGUCCGUAUGUGUGGGGAAACAAGAGUUAGGGUUGGUUUCGGACCCCUCCACCAAGGGCCACGAAAUUCCCCCCCUCUCCUCCAUAUAUACAGCCCUUAGGGCAUCGUUUAGGCUUUGGGUUUUGUUUAGAUUAAAAGUUCGCCAUGGCUGCAACUUCGCGUACUUCGUUUGUGUCCAACGACCAGACCAAGACGUCACAGAACCCCACCUUGAUCAAUAAAGCUUUCAUCUUAUAUUCGCAAUAUCCAGAUUGCAAUCUCAGUUUCUUGCUUGUUCUUUGUUUGCUCGCAGGAAACAGACCCUCGUGGUCAGGUUGAUCGUGCUCCGGUGUGGUCAAUAACCCUCGGAAGUUGGUUUAGCGAUUGCUAAGGCGCGAUGUCUCGCACGUUCGUAGUCGGAUCGUCAAGGUCGACUCCCAUAGAAAACGAUAGCCACCAUCUCAUCGAAACAUCGGGACACCUUUGCCUCUAUCAGAGGCCUAUAAAGGACAUCAUGCGGGAUAUAGAAGUGCACAUAAGGUCUUACAAUCUGGUUUUUAUUGGCCUACUCUUUUCAAGGAUGUGAUACGUCUCCAACGUAUCUAUAAUUUUUUAUUGUUCCAUGCUAUUAUAUUAUCUGUUUUGGAUGUUAAUGGGAUUAUUUAUACACUUUUAUAUUAUUUUUGGGACUAACCUACUAACCCAAGGCCCAAUGCAAAUUGUUGUUUUUUUGCCUAUUUUGGUGUUUCGCGGGAAAGGAAUAUCAAACAGAAUCCAAAUGGAAUGAAACCUUCGGGAGAGUUAUUUUUGAAACCAACGUGAUCCAGGGAGGCACGCCUGCCCCUGGGUGCGCCCCCACCCUCGUGGGCCCCUCGGAGCUCCACCGACCUACUUCUUCCUCCUAUAUAUGUCCAUAUACCCCGAAAACAUCCAGGAGCACCACGAAACCCUAUUUCCACUGCCGCAACCUUCUGUACCCAAGAGAUCCCAUCUUGGGGCCUUUUUCAGAGCUCCACCGGAGGGGGGAUCGAUCAUGGAGGGCUUCUACAUCAACACCAUAGCCUCUCCGAUGAUGUGUGAGUAGUUUACCACAGACCUUCGGGUCCGUAGUUAUUGGCUAGAUGGCUUCUUCUCUCUCUUUGGAUCUCAAUACAAUGUUCUCCUCGGUCUUCCUAGAGAUUUAUUUGAUGUAACUCUUUUUGCGGUGUGUUUGUCGACAUCCGAUGAAUUGUGGGUUUAUGAUCAAGUUUAUCUAUGAACAAUAUUUGAUUAUUCUCUGAAAUCUUUUAUGUAGGAUUGGUUAUCUUUGCAAGUCUCUUUGAAUUAUCAGUUUGAUUUGUCCUACUAGAUUGAUCUUUCUUGCAAUGGGAGAAGUGCUUAUCUUUGGGUUCAAUCUUGCGGUGUCCUUUCUCAGUGAUAGCAGGGGCAGCAAGGCACGUAUUGUAUUGUUGCCAUCGAGGAUAAAAAGAUGGGGUUUAUACCAUAUUGCUUGAGUUUAUCCCUCUACAUCAUGUCAUCUUGCUUAAUGCAUUAAUCUGUUCUUAUGAACUUAAUACUCUAGAUGCAUGAUGGAUAGCGGUCGAUGUGUGGAGUAAUAGUAGUAGAUGUAGAAUCGUUUCAGUCUACUUGUCGCGGACGUGAUGCCUAUAUACAUGAUCAUGCCUAGAUAUUCUCAUAACUUUCACUUUUCUAUCAAUUUCUCGACAGUAAUUUGUUCACCCACCGUAAUACUUAUGCUAUCUUGAGAGAAGCCACUAGUGAAACCUAUGGCCCCGGGUCUAUCUUUUAUCAUAUAAGUUUCCAAUCUAUUUUACUUUGCAAUCUUUAUUUUCCAAUCUAUAUCAUUAAAAUACCAAAAAUAUUUAUCUUAUUAUCUCUAUCAGAUCUCACUCUCGUAAGUGACCGUGAAGGGAUUGACAACCCCUUUAUCGCGUUGGUUGCGAGGUUCUUUUUUGUUUGUGUAAGUACGAGGGACUUGCGUGUAGUAUCCUACUGGAUUGAUACCUUGGUUCUCAAAAACCGAGGGAAAUACUUACGCUACUUUGUUGCAUCACCCUUUCCUCCUUAAGGGAAAACCAAUGCAGUGCUCAAGAGGUAGCAAGAAGGAUUUCUAGCGCCGUUCCCUGGGAGAUCUACCAUAAGUCAAGACAUAGCAAGUACCCAUCACAAACUCUUAUCCCUCACAUUACAUUAUUUGCCAUUUGGCUCUCAUUUUCCUCUCCCCCACUUCACCCUUGCCGUUUUAUUCUCCCUCUUUUCUGCUCGCCUCUUUUUCCGCUCGCCUCUUUUUCGCUCGCUUCUUGUGUGCUUGUGUGUUCGAUUGUUUUUCAUGAUGGCUCAAGAUAAUACUAAAUUGUGUGAUUUCUCCAAUACCAACAAUAAUGAUUUUAUUAUCACUCCGAUUGCUCCUUUUACCGGUGCUGAAUCUUAUGAGAUUAAUACUGCUUUGCUAAAUCUUGUCAUGAAAGAUCCAUCUUCUGGCCUUCCUAGUGAAGAUGCCGCUACCCAUCUAAACAACUUUGUUGAUUUGUGUGAUAUGCAAAAGAAGAAAGAUGUGGAUAAUGAUAUUGUUAAAUUGAAGCUAUUCUCGUUUUCACUUAGAGAUCGUGCUAAAACGUGGAUUUCUUCUUUGCCUAAAAAUAGUAUUGAUUCUUGGAACAAGUGCAAAGAUGCUUAUAUCUCUAAGUAUUUUCCUCCCGCUAAGAUCAUCUCUCUUAGAAAUGAUAUUAUGAAUUUAAGCAACUAGAUCAUGAGAUGAUUAACGAGACUAUCCUAGUUCUAAUUCCAAAGGUGAAGGACCCAACUAACCUCACUCAAUUCAGACCUAUUAGCUUGUGCAAUGUACUUUACAAAAUUGCUUCCAAGGUUUUAUCUAAUAGGCUGAAACAAAUUCUUCCUGAUAUUAUCUCUGAAGAGCAGUCUGCCUUUGUUCCUGGGCGCUUGAUAACUAACAACAUCAUUACUGCUUAUGAAUGCCUGCAUUUUAUGAAGAGAAACAAAGCUCAGAGGAAAAGAUUUUGUGUUGUUAAACUUGACAUGAUGAAGGCAUAUGAUCGUGUUGAGUGGAAUUAUUUGGAAGCCAUUAUGACCAAGAUGGGUUUUUGCACCAUCCCGGGUUGAUUCGGUUAUGAGAAUGGUAACAUCGGCUAAGUUUUCUGUUAUGUUCAAUGGUGGUAAGCUUGAGAAAUUUUCACCCACAAGAGGAAUCCAUCAAGGAGAUCCAAUUUCUUCAUACCUAUUUUUGCUUGCAGUGGAGGGCCUUUCAUGCCUCUUAAAAAGCCAAGAUGAAUCAUCGCACCUCACUUUUUUUUGACAGAAAGACUGUAAGGCAACCCCCUAUAGUAUAAUUGCUGCAACAAACCCAAAUUGCAAGUACCAUGCCUUGAACCUGGGUGGGUGGGAAGGCAUCAGCCCCUUCCCACCACUAGGCUAUGCCUUAGUCUGCCAUCACACCUCACUGGAAUUCGAGUUGCACCGACGGCUCCGCCGGUAAGCCACUUGUUAUUUGUUAAUGAUAGCCUGUUGUUUGUGAAAGCCUGUUCUGUUGGAGCAAAUGAGUUGUCUGCAUUAAUGGAAAAACUGUUGCAAUGCUUCGGGUCAAAGGAUAAGUCUUGCAAAAUCCUCGGUUUUCUUCAGUAAGGGUUACCCAUCCCCUUUAAAAACUGAGGUAAAGAAUGCUUUGAAUAUUGGAAAUGAGUCCCUCUCUGAUAGAUAUCUGGGAAUGCUAUCUGAUGUGGGAAAUUGCAAGAAUGGUGCUUUCAAGUUUCUAAAGGACCGUGUAUGGAACAAGGUCAAAGGUUGGAUGGAAAAGCUUUUGUCAGCGGGAGAAAAGGAAGUUCUCAUAAAAUCAGUGGCACGGGAAAUUCCAUUCUACUCCAUGUCAUGUUUCAGAUUGCCUUGCGGUCUUUGUGAACACAUUAACUCAUUGAUUAGAAAGUUCUGGUGGGACAACAAGGAGGGAAAAUGGAAGCCUAGUUGAGUCUCUUGGAGCACGAUGACUCAACCAAUAUAUUGUGGAGGCUUGGGGUUCUGAGAUAUUGAACUCUUUAAUCUUGCUCUCCUAGCAAGACAGGCAUGGCAAAUCCUGAUGGACCCAGAGUCACUUAGUGCACGCACAUUAAAGGCCAAGUACUACCCUACGAGGGAGUUUUUGCAUACCGAACUAGGCUCAACCCCCUCCCAAAUAUGGCAAGCCAUCAUUGAUGGCUGCGAGGUGCUCAUGCAGGGGCUGAUCCGGAGGAUAUGUAAUGGCCAAACGAUGAGCAUCUGGAAACACAACUGGCUGCCAAGGCCCUCGAACAUGAGGAAAAUUGUGAGUAGAGUGGCCAACCCUCCUCAAAUGGUGAGCGAGCUAAUUUUGCCUAGUGCAGAAUAGAAUCAGACAUUGACCGAUGAGGUAUUCCUGCCAACAGAUGCUACAGGGAUAUAUUCUAUUCCUUUGUGUACACGGAAUAUUGAGGAUUUCUGGUCAUGGGUUGUCACAUCCCUAGUUCUGGUAUGACCUAGGCUAGCCUUCAUGUUUGCAUCAUGUUUAAAUUUCAUUGAAAUUUGAAAUGGGGAUUUGUGAAACCCCCAGAAAUCAUUUCUGGAAAUGACCCAGAUAAAAAUUGCUCCAAAAAGGUCCAAGAAAAUGUUCAUGUUGCUCUCUGGAAAUAUUGGACAGAGAUAAAAAUCAAACCAAUAUUUUCAUGAGCUCAUAAAUAUUUAUUUGUCCACUUGGAAUUAAUGCAAUAAUUAUUUGCAUUGGAUAUAUAUAUGAUAUUUCUAUUUAUAUAUGUCCCAUAAUUCUGAUUUUUAUGUGAGGGGCUCUGGAAUAUUUCAACUAGCUCCUACAAUAAAUUUUAGAAGAAAAUUAGUUGAUUUAGUAUUUUACUAAAUCAGGAACAAAUGACAGAAAAUAGAAAAAAGAAACAAAAGGGAAAAACCUCACCUGGCUUACCUGGCCCAGGAGAGAAGCCGGCCCAGCUGGCUGGCCAGCCCAGCAGCCUCCCCCUGUCGUCUUCCUCCUCUACCAGGAGGACGAGGGCGUGUGCCCGGCGCUUGCGGCCACACGCCGUGGCCACCUCCUGCUUCCGCCGAUGCGGGAGAGGCUCCUAGAGCCGCCACGCACCACCCCGACCUCCCUCACUCUCUCCCCGUGCCCUCCCCUUUCCUCUGUCUGUCUCCCUCGCUCUCCCCUCACGCGCCUGAGCACGCCGCCGUGAGCCGCUGCGCCCACCGCCGUCGCCUUGCCUCCCCGAGCUGUCCAGAGCCUCCGCCACCUCUCGCUUCACCUCUGCACCGAAGGAAGGAAGCACAGAGGCCCCGAGCAGCCGCCAUCAUCAUCGUCUUCAAGCUUCGGCUCCGGCGCCCUUAUCCAUCGAUCCGGCCACUCCGGUGCGUCCCCGAGCCCGCUUACCAUCCCUGCAGCUCCCCGAUGAGCCGUUGACCCGUUUCCCCCUUGCCCCGUCAUCCCUCGCGUCCUCUAGAGCUAGCGCCGCCGUGACCGAAGCUCGCCGCCGCACAGCCAUGUCGCCGCCGUGGCCACCGUCACAUAGAGCUGCACCCGAGCACAUAGCCGUGCUCAGCGCAACGCCAGGAGGCCAUAGACGCCUUCUGGAGCCCCUCUCGUGCCCCGUAGGCCAUUCCCACUCGAAGCCUUGCUCCAGCCGCCGCCUCGAGCUCGAUUCCGGCGAGCUCCGGCCGUCCCUGCCUCUCCCACUUGCCCCAGAAGACGCGGACGAGCUCUGGCUCCUCGCUCGUGGCCUCCGCCGCCCAAAUGGACACCGGAGGACCAAAUCCGAGGCCUCCGCCGCGUCCUGCCUCGCCGGCGGCUAAAUGCCAGCGGGUUUACCGUGUUUAACCCCCCCAGUUGACUAGUUUUAACCCAUAUGGGUCAUUGACAUGUGGGGCCCGGCCCUGCUAAUUUUUAAUUUAGGAUUAGCCACAGACACUGACCUGUGGAGCCCACACGUCAGGUUUGACUUGGUCAGCGCCUUUGACCUACUGACGUAAGCAUGACGCUGUGCUGACGGAAUAUAUCAUUUUCUCGAUUUAAAAUAAAUCAGGAAAAUCCAGAAAAUGUUAUAAACUUCAAAAAUUCAUAGAAAUUCAACCGUAGCUCUGAUUGAAAUAAUUUAUAUAUGAAAAAUUAUCAGAAAAAUUCAAUCUAUCCAUCUGUACCAUUUUCGUGCAUGACAAACCAACCUAUACAUGCUGUAUAUAUGAAAACACACUUAUGUCAUAUUUAAGAGCUUAUUUGGAGUUGUAUUUGAACCCUUGGUUCAAAUGGACCUCAACUAAAUAAAUGCUAGUUGCAUUAGCUCAAACAGCAUCACAUCUUCAUGCCAUGUUCAUGCAUCAUAUUGUUGCAUAUGAUUGUGUAUUGAUUUUUGACACCGUUCCUUCUCGAUAGGUCCUGCUCCGGAGACCGAUCCAGAGUACCUGUCUUAGGAGCAGUGCCCCCUGUUGAUCUACCAGGCAAGCAACCCCCCUUGGUUCAUUCCGAUACAAUCCUACCCUCUCGCUCCUGCUCUCAUUUAUUGCAUUAGGACAACAAUGAUUCAACUGCUACUUCAUGCUGCGGUAGUUGAACCCAUUCCUCUGCAUGACUUCUCAAUGCCAUAGAAAAUAGUUAAAACCCACUAGCAUGUGUAGGAGUUGAUUGAGCCAUGUUGUGUUCCUACCAUGCUUUGCCUGCUAUUGCUUAGAGUAUGUCAGGUCUCAUUCAUUGGGAAUGAAUUGGAGUGCAAUGCUAUGUUCUGAUGCUGAGAGUUAAGUGUGUGAACACGAUUUGGUAAAGGUAGCGGUGAGAGGUCAUGUAGGAGUACAUGGUGGGUUGUCUCACUGGAACCGUCCUUAAGCACUAAGUUUCGUGUAUGUCGUCCAAUGACUAGCUACUAGCACACAUUGGAAUGCUUAAGUGCCCCUCUCGACUUAUUAACCAACUUGAUCUCUGUCCAGGAGUUGCAAAUAGUUUCUGGUGUUUAUAGGUAGUGCUAUUUUUCUACCGAGUGGCACCCGGCAGGGUGGACUUGGGACAGACUAGGCACACGUGGCCCGGUGUACCGAGUUGCACCCGGAUGGUGGGCUCGGGAACCCUGUACACAUCAUUUGGGGCCGUGAGCGAAACCCCGGCCGGAUCUCCUUGCGGAUGGAACCCGAAUAGGCGAUAAACCUGGACUAGAGUCUUGUGUGGUUAGUCAGGUCGUGGCCGACACCCUCGCCAGGCUUCCGCUUGAAGGUUGCCGAGAUACAUGACGUGUAUAUGGUGAUAAGUGGUGAGAGCGAGUCCUCGGUUAUGGACUUUUUGGAUGCUUACGUGGUACAUAGACAACUUAAAGUGGAUACUCUAAAAUGCUCAAGACAAGUGUGAGUGCUAUGGAUGGCCUUCUCGUAAGGAGACGGGGAUGAAUCCAUAGUAGUGUAUUGAUGUGGUGAUUAGUGGAGUCGUGUGCGCUGCCUCAUCUCAAAGAAGUUUCUCGUUGUCGUAGAAUAGGAUAGCCACGGAGUCAAAGCUGGCUUGCUGCAACUAAACCCCACAUUACCUUCUUGAUACAAAUGCAUGUAUGAUAGGAUCUGAUGUAAGUCUUGCUGAGUACCUUUGUACUCACGUUUGCUUUAUUUAUGUUUUGCAGGUGAGACAUCUGUCUCACUAAUAGUACCACUUGGACUUCGACAAGUAGCUUGUUACCUCAGCUACGAUCUUGUACCCUUGGGAGGGACUCGUAGAUAAUCAGGCUUCUCGGCCUUUUUCUUUUGUAGUUGUUUAUACUCGGACAUGUAAUGCUUCCGUUGCUUGUAUGCUCUGAAUGAUGGGUCAUGUGACCCCUGUUUGUAUUAAUGCUAUGUGGCCCUUCUGGGCCUUUAUCUAUAUGAGUUGCGUUAUGUUGUGAUGCCAUGUUGUACAGCACAUACUUGCAUGUUAUGCGUACGUGUGACGUGUAUUGCUAUGUGUGGGAUCCGACAAUCUAGUUGUUUAUCCUUGGCAGCCUCUCUUAUGGGGAAAUGUAGUCUAGUGCUUCCUUGAGCCAUAGUACUCCGCUAUAGCCCGGUUCACCGGAGUCCUGCUAGCCCAGCACUACUGCUUAGGAAACUUGACUGGCCGGCAUGUGUUUCACUUUGUUCCUGUGUUUGUCCCUUCGGGGACAUCCGGAGUCCUGCCUAGCCUGCUACAGCCCGGGUUCCCCGGAGUCCUGUUAGCCCAGUGCUACAGCCCGGAUUCACACGCUGCUGACCGACAUGCUCAAUGUGAAUCAUGUAUGCCUGUCCCCAUAGGUUAGUGCCGCUUUGGGUUCACGACUAGCCAUGUCGGCCCGGGUUCUCUGUCAUAUGGAUGCUAGCGACACAAUCAUAUACGUGAGCCAAAAGGCGCAAACGGUCCCGGGCCAGGGUAAGGCGACACCCGUGGGAAUACCGUGCAUGAGGCCGCAAAGUGAUAUGAGGUGUUACCGGCUAGAUCGAUGCGACUUGGAAUCGGGGUCCCGACAUGGGUGCAUGAAAGACGUGGUGUUUUCUCAGUUCUAUCUUCUUAUCGCAUGCUAGUAGAAACUAAGAUGAGGAGAGAGGCUUGGUUAGAAGGGAGAGCUGAUACUUCGAAUAUGGACAGACAAAAAUAGUCUUGGGAGAUGCUGUGGAAAGUGAAUGUCCCCUCAAAGUUGAAAUUUUUUUUAUGAAGAUUGGCUCAGCAAUCUAUCCCAACAGCGGACGUGCUGCAUCAUCAGAACAUGUGUACUACUACAUGUUGUGGCCUGUGUGGAGCCGAGGAUUCUUUCAACAUUCUUUGCUUCACUGCACGGUCGCCAGAUGCGUAUGGGCACUUCACGACUAGGAUCUUGUGGAGGCAUUGAACACCACAACGAAACUGGAUGCAAAACGGUGGUUAUUUAGGGUCCAGGACAUGCUUUCUCCACAAUAAUUCAUCUUGGUAAUCGCAACCCUAUGGGCACUUUGGUAUGCAAGAUGCCAGGCGCUACAUUGAUAACCCACAAGUAUAGGGGAUCGCAACAGUUUUCGAGGGUAGAGUAUUCAACCCAAAUUUAUUGAUUCGACAGAAGGGGAGCCAAAGAAUAUUCUCAAGUAUUAGUAGCUGAGUUGUCAAUUCAACCACACUUGGAAACUUAAUAUCUGCAUCAAAGUGUUUAGUAGCAAGGUAAUAUGAUAGUAAUGGUAAUGGUAGCAAAAGGUAACAGUAGUAAAAGUAAUGUUUUUGGUAUUUUGUAGUGAUGAUAGCAAUAGCAAAGAAAAGGUAAAUAAGCGGAGAACAAUAUAUGGAAAGCUCGUAGGCAAUGGAUCGGUGAUGGAGAAUUAUGUCGGAUGCGGUUCAUCAUGUAACAGUCAUAACCUAGGGUGACACCGAACUAGCUCCAGUUCAUUGAUAUAAUGUAGGCAUGUAUUCCAAACAUAGUCAUACGUGCUUAUGGAAAAGAACUUGCAUGGCAUCUUUUGUCCUACCUCCUGUGGCAGCGGGUCCUUAUGGAAACUAAGGGAUAUUAAGGCCUCCUUUUAAUAGAGUACCGGAACAAAGCAUUAACACAUAGUGAAUACAUGAACUCCUCAAACUACGGUAAUCACCGGUAAGUAUCCCAAUUAUUGUCACUUCGGGGUUAACGGAUCAUAACACAUAAUAGGUGACUAUAGACUUGCAAGAUAGGAUCAAGAACUCUCAUAUAUUGAUGAAAACAUAAUAGGUUCAGCUCUAAAAUCAUGGCACUCGGGCCCUAGUGACAAGCAUUAAGCAUAACAAAGUCAUAGCAACAUCAAUCUUAGAACAUAGUGGAUACUAGGGAUCAAACCAUAACAAAACUAACUCGAUUACAUGAUAGAUCUCAUCCAACCCAUCACCAUCCAGCAAGCCUGCAAUGGAAUUACUCACGCACGGCAGUAAGCAUCAUGAAAUUGGUGAUGGAGGAUGGUUGAUGAUGACGAUGGCGACGGAUUCCCCUCUCCGGAGCCCCGAACGGACUCCAGAUCAUCCCUCCCGAGAGGUUUUAGGGCUUGGCGGCGGCUCCGUAUCAUAAAACGUGAUGAAUUCUUCUCUCUGAUUUUUUUCUCCCCGAAACACAAUAUAUGGAGUUGGAGUUGGAGUCGGAGAGGCACCAGGGGCCCACGAGGUAGGGGCGCGCCCUACGGGGGUAGGCACGCCCCCCACCCUCGUGGACAGGUGGUGGGCCCCCUGGCCUUCAUCUUUUGCAGGUAUUUUCUAUAUUUUCCAAAAAGUUGCUUCGUGAAGUUUUAGGUCAUUCCGAGAACGUUUGUUUCUGCACAUAAAUAACACCAUGGUAAUUCCGCUGAAAACAACGUCAGUCCGGGUUAGUUCCAUUCAAAUCAUGCAAGUUAGAGUCCAAAACAAGGGCAAAAGUGUUUGGAAAAGUAGAUACGACGGAGAUGUAUCAACUCCCCCAAGCUUAAACAUUUGCUUGUCCUCAAGCAAUUCAGUUGAUAAACUGAAAGUGAUAAAGAAAAAACUUUUACAAACUCUGUUUGCUCUUGUUGUUGUAAAUAUGUAAAGUCAGCAUUCAUGUUUUCAGCAAAGAUUAUAACUAACCACACUCGAAAUAACGCUUAGGUCUCAAGUUUACUCAUAUCAAUAGCAUAAUCAACUAACGAGCAAUAAUAAUAAACCUCGGAUGACAACACUUUCUCAAAACAAUCAUAAUAUGAUAUAACAAGGUGGUAUCUCGCUAGCCCUUUCUGAGAUCGCAAAAUAUAAAUGCAGAGCACCUUUAAAGACCAAGGACUGACUAGACAUUGUAAUUCAUGGUAAAAGAGAUCCAGUCAAGUCAUACUCAAGGUAAACUAACAGUAAUGAAUGCAAAUGACAGUGGUGCUCUCCAACUGGUGCUUUUUAAUAAGAGGAUGAUGACUCAGCAUAAAAGUAAAUAGAUAGGCCCUUCGCAGAGGGAAGCAGGGAUUUGUAGAGAUGCCAGAGCUCGGUUUUGAAACAGAGGUGAAUAAUAUUUUGAGCGGUAUACUUUCAUUGUCAACAUAACAACCAAGAGAUGGUGAUAUCUUCCAUGCUACACACAUUAUAGGCGGUUCCCAAACAGAAUGGUAAAGUUUAUACUCCCCCUUCCACCAACAAGCAUUAAUCCAUGGCUUGCUCGAAACAACGAGUGCCUCCAACUAACAAGAGUCCUAGGGGGAGUUUUGUUUGCAAUUAUUUUGAUUUAGUUUGCAUAAAGCAUGGGACUGGGCAUCCCGGUGACCAGCCAUUUAUCUCGUGAGUGAGGAGCGGAGUCCACUCCUCUUGAGAAUAUCCCGCCUAACAUGGAAGAUACAGACAGCCCUAGUUGAUACAUGAGCUAUUCGAGCAUACAAAACAAGAUAUUUAUUUGAAGGUUUACAGUUUGGCACAUACAAAUUUACUUGGAACGGCGGGUAGAUACCGUAUAUAGGUAGGUAUAGUGGACUCUUAUGGAAUAACUUUGGGGUUUAAGGGAUUGGAUGCACAAGCAGUAUUCCUGCUUAGUACAGGUGAAGGCUAGCAAAAGACUGGGAAGUGACCAGCUAGAGAGCGACAACAGUCAUGAACAUACAUUAAAAUUAAUCAACACCAAAUGCAAGCAUGAGUAGGAUAUAAUCCACCAUGAACAUAAAUAUCGUGAAGGCUAUGCUGAUUUUGUUUCAACUACAUGCGUGAACAUGCGCCAAGUCAAGUCACUUAAAUCAUUCAGAGGAGGAUACCACCCUAUCAUACCACAUCAUAACCAUCUCAAUAGCAUGUUGGCACGCAAGGUAAACCAUUAUGACUCAUAGCUAAUCAAGCAUGACACAAGGAACUAUGAUCUCUAGUUGUCAUUGCAAACAUGUUUAUUCAUAAUAGGCCGAAUCAGGAACGAUGAAUUAUUCAUAUUUACAAAAACAAAAGAGGUCGAGUUCAUACCAGCUUUUCUCAUCUCAGUCAGUCCAUCAUAUAUCAUCAUAAUUGCCUUUCACUCGCACGACCGAAUGAUGUGAAUAAUAAUAAUAAUAAUAGUGCACGUACAUUGGACUAAGCUGCAAUCUGCAGGCAUUCAAUAAACAGGAGAAGACAAGGCAAUAUGGACUCUUUUGUCAGAUCAACAAUAAUGCAUAUAAGAGCCACUUCAACAAUUUAAUUAUGGUCUUCUCCUAUUGGCCCCCAAAGAAAAGAAAAGAAAUAAAACUAUUUACACGGGAGAGCUCCCAACAAGUAAAAGAAGAACAUGAAAUCUUUUUGGGUUUUCUUUUUAAUUACUACUACAAGCAUGGAAAUUAAACUAACUAAAAGCUACAACUAAUUUUUUUGUUUUUCUUAAGGUUUAUUAAACACACAAGAAUAAAGCAUAAAAAGGAAAAUAAACUAGCAUGGAUGAUACAAUGAAAAAGUAUGAGCACCGACAUCUAGCAAUGAGUGUUUGAACAUAAAUGUAAUGUCGGUGGGAAAUACGUACUCCCCCAAGCUUAGGACUUUGGCCUAAGUUGGUCCAUGGCCAUGGCUGGCCUAGCGGAUAUCCAUAAUAGUAGUUGGGGUCAUAGUGAGAAGAAGAAGUGGAAGACUCCGAUUGCCACUGGCUGACAAUCAUCUCCGGAUCCCACUGGUAAUUAGACUGUCAUGAAGGAUCAACUUGUGGUUCUGGCUCUGGCUCCUUGGCUGGUGCAGGGUUCCGAUAGGCGUGAAUAGCCUUCAAUGGAACAAGGUACUGGCCUGCAGAUAAAUCAAACAAAGAAGGAGCAGGCAGGGUAAUAGUCUUAGGAUGAUGUUUAUUAAAGCACAAUUUGUAUUUAAGCUCUCCUUCCCUAUUCUUAACAAUAAAAUCAUGUGCCACCAUACUUUUAUAAUCUAGAUAAACACGAGGCAGCACUUUUUCUUCCUUCUCAUAAUCCCUAAUAGGUAUGUUAAAAUGUGCAGCUAGGCGUGAAGCAUAUAUGCCUCCAAAGAUGGGGCCCUUGGUACGGUUCAAACUUAACCGUUUGGCAAUAAUGCCGCCCAUACUAACAGAGUUAUCACUGUAUAAUCUGUGGAGCAAAAUAAUAAUAUCAGGAAUACUAAGGUUUCCACAGUUUCCGCGACCAAUUAAACAACGACUAGCAAAUAACACAAAAUAACGUAAAACAUGAAAAUGUAUGCUAGUGAUUCGUGCAUCGGAAACCUUCCUUGUUUCCCCUACAGUGAUAGUAUCAAUAAACCCCUCCACAUCAUCACAAUGUGGUUCUUCUGUCUUGCCCUCAAAAGGGACUAAACAAACCCGACAAAAAUCAUAAAGUGACAUCUCCUUAUGCUCAUCAUAUAAAUGAAACUCCAUCGUAUGUGGUGAGCUCCUAGAAUGGAAAUGAAAGUUUUGCACAAAGAUAUUUUUGAGUAAGAGAUACUGAUCGCAUUGGUCGUGGAGGAAAGUGGUGAGGCCUGCAUUCUUAGCCAAUUCAUGAAAAUCUUCAUAAAUCCCAGCUGCUCUCAAGAAAUCAUCGGAAGGCCAUUCACACGCCCGAACCUCUGCGGUGCGAGGCAGAUUAUACUUAGGCUUCGGUGCCUUUUCCUUCGAGCUUUGGCUCGAUGAGCCCCUCAAAAGUCUCUUCAUCAUUUUCUGAAAAAUUCUGAAAUUUUUAGUAACUUAAAAAUAAAAGUAAACCAAACUCAAUAAUAUUGAUAGCAACUACUCCUACAAGUGCCUAGGGCCUAUAUCAUGCAUCAAAACUACUUGGAACCAUAUAAAUUUGACAUGCAAGCUCAAGAACAGGGUCACCUAAGUAGCAAAAAUUUGCAAUGAAUAAAGCACUAGAACAAAAACUAAUUGGACCAAUGGAGGAGUCACAUACCAAGGAACAAUCUCCCCAAGCAGUUUUGUGAGAGGUGUUUUGAGCAAGGAGAUCGAAAAUGGCAGCAAGAUGAGCUAGAAGUCAUGCUUGAGCUGGAUAUUCAUGUUUGUGGAAGGAAGAAGAAGUGUGUGGGUGCAAGAAUAAGUGGAGGAGGGCCACCGUGGGCCCAUGAGGCAGGGGAGCGCACCCAGGGGGUAGGGCGCGCCCUCCACCCUCGCGGGCAGGUGGUUUUCUGUGUUCUCAGUGCCAAAUAUUCUCAAAUAUUCUGGAAAAAUCAUAUUUAAAUUUCAGGGCAUUUGGAGAACUUUUAUUUUCGGGGUAUUUUUACAUUGCACGGAUAAUCAGAUAACAGACAGAAAAAUAUUUAUUUUUAUUUUAAUUAAUAUAAAUAACAGAAAGAAAAAGUGGGGUACACAAGGUUGUGCUUUCUAGUUUCAUCCAUCUCAUGCUCAUCAAAAGGAAUCCACUAACAAGGUUGAUCAAGUCUUGUUAACGAACUCAUUCCAAAUAACAUGGAACCGGAGAAAUUUCGAAUAACACUAUGUUACCUCAACGGGGAUAUGCACAUCCCCAAUAAUAAGAAUAUCAUAUUUCUUCUUGACAGUAGGAAGAGGAAAUUCAAAACCUCCAAAUAUAAUCGAUGGAAACUUUCCAAUAGAGUUGAUACUAUGAACUUGAGGUUGUUUCCUCGGAAAGUGUACCGUAUGCUCAUUACCAUUAACAUGAAAGGUAACAUUGCCUUUAGUGCAAUCAAUAACAGCCCCUGUAGUAUUCAAAAAAGGUCUUCCAAGAAUAAUAGACAUACUAUCAUCCUCGGGAAUAUCAAGAAUAACAAAGUCUGUUAAAAUAGUAACGUUUGCAACUACAACAGGCACAUCCUCACAAAUACCGACAAGUAUAGCAGUUGAUUUAUCAACCAUUUGCAAAGAUAUUUCAGUAGGUGUCAACUUAUUCAAAUCAAGUCUACGAUAUAAAGAGAGAGGCAUAACACUAACACCGGCUCCAAGAUCACAUAAAGCAGUUUUAACAUAGUUUCUUUUAAUAGAGCAUGGUAUAGUGGGUACUCCUGGAUCUCCAAGUUUCUUUGGUAUUCCACACUUAAAAGUAUAAUUAGCAAGCAUGGUGGAAAUUUCAGCUUCUGGUAUCUUUCUUUUAUUUGUAAUUAUAUCUUUCAUAUACUUAGCAUAAGGAUUGGUUUUGAGCAUAUCAGUUAAUCGCAUACGCAAAAAGAUAGGUCUAAUCAUUUCAGCAAAGCGCUCAAAAUCCUCAUCAUCCUUUUUCUUGGGUGGUUUGGGAGGAAAAGGCAUGGGUUUCUGAACCCAAGGUUCUCUUUCUUUACCAUGUUUCCUAGCAACAAAGUCUUUCUUAGCAUAACGUUGAUUCUUUGAUUGUGGGUUAUCAAGAUCAACAACAGGUUCAAUUUCUAUAUCAUUAUCAUUACUAGGUUGAGCAUCAUCAUGAACAUUAUUAUUAACAUUAUCCCUUGUUUCAGGUUCAUUACCAGAUUGUGUUUCAGCAUCAGAAAUAGAAAUAUCAUUUGGAUUCUCAGGUGUUCAACAAUAGGAUCACUAGAAGCAUGCAAAGUUCAAUCAUUUUUCUUUUUCUUCUUUUUAGACGAACAAGGUGCAUCUGUGUUAUUUCUCUGAGAAUCUUGCUCAAUUCUCUUAGUAUGACCUUCAGGAUACAAAGGUUCCUGAGUCAUCCUACCACCUCUAGUCAUAACUCUAACAGCAUUAUCAUUAUCCUUACUAUUCAAUUCAUUGAGCAAAUCAUUUUGAACUUUAAGUACUUGUUCUACUUGAGUGGUAACCAUAGAAGCAUGUUUACUAAUAAGUUUAAGUUCACCUUUAACAUUAGCCAUAUAAUCACCCAAGUGUUUAAGAAUAUUUGAAUUGUAUUUCAAUUGUCUACCAAAAUAAGCAUUAAAGUCUUCUUGCUUAGCCAUAAAUUUAUCAAACUCAUCUAAGCAUGGGCUAGCAAACUUAGUAAAUGGGAUUUCAGCUUUAUCAUAUCUAUAGAGAGAAUUUACCUUUACUACCUGUGUCGGGUUAUCAAGACCAUGAGUUUCUUCAAUAGGAGAUGGAUUUGGAUCAUAUGUUUCUUCAACAGGCUGUAAAUUAAGAUCGUGUAUUUCUUCAAUAGGAGGUAAAUUCUUAGCAUCUUCGGCUUUAAUACCUUUUUCUUUCAUAGAUUUCUUUGCCUCUUGCAUAUCUUCAGGACUGAGCAAUAGAAUACCCCUCUUCUUCGGAGUUGUUUUAGGAAUAGGCUCAGGAAUUGGCUCCGGAGGUGUCCAAUUAUUUUCAUUUCUCAACAUAUUAUUCAAUAGAAUUUCAGCUUCAUCCGGUGUUCUUUCCCUGAAAACAGAACCAGCACAACUAUCCAGGUAAUCUCUGGAGGCAUCGGUUAGUCCAUUAUAAAAGAUAUCAAGUAUUUCAUUUUUCUUAAGAGGAUGAUCAGGCAAAGCAUUAAGUAAUUGGAGAAGCCUCCCCCAAGCUUGUGGGAGACUCUCUUCUUCAAUUUGCACAAAAUUAUAUAUAUCCCUUAAAGCAGCUUGUUUCUUAUGAGCAGGGAAAUAUUUAGCAGAGAAGUAAUAAAUCAUAUCCUGGGGACUACGCACACAACCAGGAUCAAGAAAAUUAAACCAUAUCUUAGCAUCACCCUUUAAUGAGAACAGAAAUAUUUUGAGGAUAUAAAAGUAACAAGGUCUCUCAUCUUUAGUGAACAGGGUGGCUAUAUCAUUCAGUUUUGUAAGAUGUGCCACAACAGUUUCAGAUUCGUAACCAUGAAAAUGAUCAGAUUCAACUAAGGUAAUUAUAUCAGGAUCAAUAGAGAAUUCAUAAUCCUUAUCAGUAACACAGAUAGGUGAAGUAGCAAAAGCAGGGUCAAGUUUCAUUCUAGCAUUUAGAGAUUGCUUAUUCCAUUUAGCGAAUAACCUUUUGAGUUCAUAUCUAUCUUUGCAUGCUAAAAUAGCUAAAGAAGCUUCUUGAUCAAAAACAUAACCCUUAGGAAUAACAAGUGAUUCUUCAUCAUCACUUUCAUCAGUAUCAUCAGAUUCAAUAUUUUCAAUCUCUCUAGCCCUAGCAAGUUGUUCAUCAAGAAAAUCACCAAGUGGCACAGUAGUAUCAAGCAUAGAAGUAGUUUCAUCAUGAGUAUCAUGCAUAGCAGAAGUGGCAUCAUCAAUAACAUGCGACAUAUCAGAACGAAUAGCAGAAGCAGGUGUAGGGGUCGCAUGCUUACUCAAAACAGAAGGUGAAUCAAGUGCAGAGCUAGAUGGCAGUUCCUUACCUCCCCUCGUAGUUGAGGGAUAAAUCUUGGUUCUUGGAUAUUUCAAGUUCUUCAUAAUGAUAAGCAGAUAUAAAUCCCAAGUGACUCAAAGAAUAGAGCUAUGCUCCCCAGCAACGGCACCAGAAAAUAGUCUUGAUAACCCACAAGUAUAGGGGAUUGCAACAAUUUUCGAGGGUAGAGUAUUCAACCCAAAUUUAUUGAUUCGACACAAGGGAGCCAAAGAAUAUUCUCAAGUAUUAGCAGCUGAGUUGUCAAUUCAACCACACCUGGAAACUUAAUAUCUGCAGCAAAGUGUUUAGUAGCAAGGUAAUAUGAUAGUAAUGGUAAUGGUAGCAAAAGGUAACAGUAGUAAACGUAGCGUUUUUGGUAUUUUGUAGUUAUGAUAGCAAUAGAAACGGAAAAGUAAAUAAGAGGAGAACAAUAUAUGGAAAGCUCAUAGGCAAUGGAUCGGUGAUGGAGAAUUAUGCCGGAUGCGGUUCAUGAUGUAACAGUCAUAACCUAGGGUGACACAGAACUAGCUCCAAUUCAUUGAUAUAAUGUAGGCAUGUAUUCCAAACAUAGUCAUAUGUGCUUAUGGAAAAGAACCUGCAUGACAUCUUUUGUCCUACCCUCCCGUGGCACCGGGGUCCUUACGGAAACUAAGGGAUAUUAAGGCCUCCUUUUAAUAGGGUACCAGAACAAAGCAUUAACACAUAGUGAAUACAUGAACUCCUCAAACUACGGUCAUCACCGGUAAGUAUCCCGAUUAUUGUCACUUCGGGGUUAACGGAUCAUAACACAUAAUAGGUGACUAUAGACUUGCAAGAUAGGAUCAAGAACUCUCAUAUAUUGAUGAAAACAUAAUAGCUUCAGAUCUGAAAUCAUGGCACUCGGGCCCUAGUGACAAGCAUUAAGCAUAGCAAAGUCAUAGCAACAUCAAUCUUAGAACAUAGUGGAUACUAGGGAUCAAACCCUAACAAAAAUAACUCGAUUACAUGAUAGAUCUCAUCCAACCCAUCACCGUCCAGCAAGCCUGCAAUGGAAUUACUCACGCACGGCAGUAAGCAUCAUGAAAUUGGUGAUGGAGGAUGGUUGAUGAUGACAAUGGCGACGGAUUCCCCUCUCCGGAGCCCUGAACAGACUCCAGAUCAGCCCUCCCGAGAGGUUUUAGGGCUUGGUGGCGGCUCCAUAUCGUAAAACGUGAUGAAUUCUUCUCUCUGAUUUUUUUCUCCCCGAAACACAAUAUAUGGAGUUGGAGUUGGAGUCGGAGAUGCAUCAGGGGGCCCAUGAGGUAGGGGGGCACACCCCCCACCCUCGUGGACAGGUGGUGGGCCCCCUGACCUUCAUCUUUUGCAGGUAUUUUUUAUAUUUUCCAAAAAGUUGCUCCGUGAAGUUUCAGGUCAUUCUGAGAACGUUUGUUUCUGCACAUAAAUAACACCAUGGUAAUUCUGCUGAAAACAGCGUCAGUCCAGGUUAGUUCCAUUCAAAUCAUGCAAGUUAGAGUCCAAAACAAGGUCAAAAGCGUUUGGAAAAGUACAUACGACGGAGGCGUAUCAUACAUGAACACAUUUUUCAGAGCCCUCUAUCUACAUACAACUUCAUCUUGAAGUACAUUCGGGAGCUCGAGGAGUGCAAUACUAAGAAAGCUACGAGGGGAUCUCUAACGGUAGCAGGAGUGCAGCCAAGAUGGAUCCCUCCACCAGAAGGAAUUGAAAAAAUACGAGCCGAUGGGGCUAUCUCCAGAGAUGGUAAUGUUGGUUCUUUCAGUGCUAUUUGCAGAAACUCUUCAAGAACAUACUUGGGUGCUUCAGUUUUCAAGAUCUAUGGAGUUACGGAUCCGGCGACGCUGGAAGCGUUGGCGUGUAGCAAGGCACUUGCUCUCGCUACUGACCUGGACCUUGCUUGUAUUCUCAUCGCGAGUGACAGCCAAGGAGUAGUCAACGACAUCAAGAACCGCACCGGGGGUGCCUACGCCAGCACCACCAGGGAGAUUGUGGAAACAACGGAUAGUUUUGAUAGUUGUACCUUCAUCUUUGAAGGUUGGGCCACUAAUGUUUAGGCACAUAGCCUUGCUAAGGAUGCUUUUAGUUUGGAUUACGGGGUGCCAUGUGUGGUUGUUAAACCCUCCAAAUAUUUCUUGUAUCCCUAUGAAUAUUACUGAGCAAUAAAUGAAGCGUGUUUAGACUAAAAAAAGCUGAUUGAAACAGAACUUUUUCCCAUCUGAAUUGGGAUCCCGUCUAAAUUUAGGCAGUGGCACCAGGUAAAAGAUGAUGAUUAAAUGGAAAACGCUUAUUUUCAUCCGGCUGAUAACGCGCGCUCAUCAGCCCCCUCCGCUGCCAACCACGUGUCCAAGUGGGAUGGCCGACUCCCGACUGUUGCGUCCGCGCGCCCGCCUCUAUAUAACCUGAGUGAAGUCUGUUUUAAACCUUGAGUUUGUAAAGCAUGAUGCAAACGAACCCUCACGUCUAAAUCCCUCAAAUUGAUACCCUAUACUUACCAAUCCCGAUCAACCUAAACCCUAGAUUCGUUUGGCGCACCCGGAAAACGAUAAUCCUCACCGGGAUCAAUUGCUACUCUCACUGACUGCUUUGCCCCACCCGUCAUAUGCUAUGCAUCCGACAGUGUUCACCAGCGACGACGAUGCCAGCGCAUGUUUUUCCCCGACGGUGAGCGGACGUAGGUGUGCGAGCAGGGGUGGCGCUCUUCGCACCUACACGCAAAACUCCCCUGCGUUGGGCUGCGAGUGAAAGGGAUGACAAGAGCAUGUGCUCCCGUCUAGCGGCGGUCGUCGGAGCAGCUACAUUGCAGCCACAAAACUACUGCAGCUUAAAGAGAGAGCCAUUUGGAGGAGGCCAGCUUGGUGAGCAGCGCUCCACCCCAAGGCAGGUGAUAAAUUAAUGCAAGUAAGAGCUCAAGCAUCAACACGCACGCAAUGCAAGCAGGAGCGACACACACGCUGCUCUCGGGCCUGCUCUAUGGUGAAGAGGGGAACCAAUCUGGUGGCAGCGGUAGUGGCUCAUCACGGGCGGGUGGAGGCCCUGCCACCAUCGCCCUCGGUGGUGGCGGGCCAGCGGCCAAGGUGGAGCCCCGUCAUGCGGUACAGGUGACACUGCUGGACCGUAGAUGCGGCAGAUGGCAAUGGCGAUGGGAUCAGUAGCUCGACAUAGAGGUCUGAGGCGAGCAGCGGUGCCAGGAGGCAAAACCCCAGACCAACGCGAGGACGGACGGUGUACGAGAUGGAUUUCAGGAGAGAGAGGCAGAGAGGAAGAAAAUAGGUUGAUGAAGAAGGGUAUGACAUGUAGGCCCUUGGGGUCAGUGAGAGAAACAAGUGAUCCCGGUCGGGAUUGCCCUUCCAAACAGAUCUUGGGUGGCUUAGGGUUACAAUUGACCAGGAUAGGUAAGUAUCGGGUAUCAAUUUCAAGGAUUUGUAUGUGGAGGUUUAUUUGCGUCGUGCUCUACAACUUUAGGAUUUAAAACAGACUUCACUCAUAUAACCCAAACACGCCGCUCGCUCCGUGCUCUCCUCCACAUGCGACUGAUUUUUUUCCCUGAUCGAGACGCAAUUAUUCUUGUUGACGAAUUGCUGCCAGGUACUGAUAAACGAGUCAGUAGUCAUGGUAGCUAGUUACUACAUGUACUCAAUCACAGGUACUGCAUGUACUGAACUGCCAAGGUACAACGUUGCUUUCUUAAUCUUAUCGCAGAAUCAUCGAAGUAGCCAGACCAUUAUUGUAGCAUUGUUGGAGCAUCCGUGCCAUCAUCACAACACUGCCACGACCAGGAAACCCGCCAUUGCAGCAUCAACAAAGCACCCAGGCGUCCAACACAGCAUUGCCGCGGUCGUCGAAGCACGCGGUCGCAAUAUCAUCGUGACAAUUCGAAGCAUGCCGCCGUUGUGGCUAUAGGCUGCCGAAGCAACCGCCGCAGCCGCCGAAGGAUGUCCUUGCAACAUCAUGGAAGCAGCCAUGCUUCCAUUGUAGCAUCGCCGCAGUUGUCACCGCAUGUUGCCGCGGUUGACGAAGCACAUCGUCGCAACAUCACGAAGCAGCAAGGCUGCCAUUGUAGCAUCGCCGCGAUCGUCGACACAUAUGGUCGAAGCACACAAUGGCCAUUUGAAAGACGUCGUCAUAGCAUCAUAGCUGCCAUGGACAUCAAAGCAUGUCAUCGCAACAUCAUUGAAGCAGCCUGUCCCUGCUAGUAUCACCACGGUCGUCGAAGCAGUCGGGACGCAUCGUAGCACCCCUCGAAACAGCAUCGUGGUCGUCGAAGCAGUCGGACCACCAUCGUAGCAUGUCACAUAGCAUCACUGUCGUCAUCGAAGCAGUCGGACCGCUAUCAAAAGAGACCGUAGUCGAGCGUUGUAGCACUAAGUGACGCAUGUGGCUGCACCCUCAAGUAAACGCAUGGCAUAGGUACUAGUUAUGUGGGGCCUCGAUGGGCGAUGGAGUGAAAGUGGUGUAGCACCACCCAGAAGAAACGAAUGAAGAAAUUAGUCGUACACUCCUGCAAGUUAGGGGGUGUUCGGUUGCAAGGGACUAAAAAUUUUGUAGUCUCAGGGACUAAAGAAAAAAGACCCUUCAAUAAAGUCUUUUUCUAGUCCCUAAAGAAAAAGUCUCACCUGUUUGAUUACAUAGGGACUAAAAGGGACUUUUUCUAGUCUAAUCCCUAUAAUCAAACAGGGCCUCAGUCGCCCGGUACUGGUCUCCUGAUUCCUACAUGUGUGGCACGGGUUUGUAGCUUGUACGGGAUCUCAUUGGGCUGAUCCAACGGACCCGUGCGUCACUAUCGUACGGCUUGGGAGGGGGCUGAUUUUCCUCAGUUUUCAGCCGGUUGAUUUUUAGCGGUUGAUUAAAUAGCCUGUUCUAUAUUGAUUUGGUAUUGAUUACAAAUAUAAUUGAUUCCUUCCUUUUGAAUUUAAUUUCGUCUGUUACACCAAAUAAAUAUUGUAGUUUUUAGGAACGUGAUUGUUACCUAGGAAAAUCGGAGGGAUAGUAGGAAACGUACGAGGGGUAAUAAAAGGAAGGAAUCACAUAAGGAAAAGAUCACAUAAGCAAUCACUUAUUGCUCCAAAUGUACCAGUCAUAAUUCACACUAUCAAAAUUUGAUUAUCCCUUGAUCUUCGCCUUUGACUACUCAACAUAAUUUGGACAUAAUAUAUACCCUCAAUGCUCCCCUUCUAGCCAGUUUAUACAUGAUCCAAUUUUUCUUAUUUUGCGAAGAAUGAGCCAUCUAUCUUUGUCUUUGGCAUUAUUUGCAGUUUCUCUACUGUUGACAACGUGUAUUCAUGGGGUACAUGUUGAUCCCAAUGAUAUUGUGAAGACCAUUGAGGUAAUGGCCUUGUUUUUGCUAAUGUUUUGUUUCCAAGGAUUAGGUGACAAGGUCAUGGAUGUUGUGCAGCUUACAUCCAUGCAGAGGUACAUUUUUGUUUGUUGAUGAAUUUGCAUCAUCCAUGACUUCCUUCUCUUCCUUCAAUAACCUUACAGUCAAAUGUGUCCAUUAAUCCUUUGAUUGAUCUUUUCACAAAAAAAUAUCCUUUGGUUGAUCUUUUAACAUUUUCAUGUUCUAAAUAUUACUUUGCUUUCUUGUAAAAGUGCAAAAGUGGUGAUAUAAUCGACUGUGUUGACAUCUACAAGCAACCUAGCCUCAAGGAUCCAUUGCUUCGGAAUCACAAAAUACAGGUUUUUUGUCUUACUUUUUAAUAAUUUAACUGUAACAAUAUCCAUAUGCACUUCAAGUUUAUAUGAUUUUAUUCAUAUCUAAUAAGUAUUGUGAGCAAUUCUAUAUCAUUUAUUAAUUUCUACGCAUAAGGCUGGAACGAAGAGAGUCUAAAACAACAGAUGGAUAGUGUUAAUUUUAAUUGGUAGAUCAUAGAUGCCUGGUAGAUGAUAUAUUUGAUUAGUUUUGCCGGAGAAAAUGAAGAAGCACCAAGUUUUGCUCCAUUAUAUGCCCAAUGAUUUUCAGCUUAAACCAACCGAGGAACCUCCUAAAGUAGCAUAUAAGGUUAAAGGAAGAAAUUACAGCCUUCCUGAGCAAACAUGGCGAAGAAGCGGUAGCUGUCCAGAAGGAACCAUCCCGAUUCCGAGGAAGCCUAUUAGUGUUGAUGGUGAUGUUGCUAACCGAAGUCUACCUUUUUUCUCGUAUGCUCAUCCUACCGACAUGAGCAUUCAAGAUGAAGGGAAUGGUAAACUAGAAGUAAGUGGUCAUAUUUAUCCUAGACAAUGGAACUGUUCUUAAUACACAUGCUAGGGUAUCUUCUUCUUUAUUAAUAUAUACACCAGCAAAAGCUCUUGGUGGAUGUUUUAGAAGAGAAAAACACGUCUGGGAUAUUAAACAACACUUUUGUUGUCAUUGACAAUCGAUGCUUUGGUUGUAGAUAGCUGCUGCAUAUGCUCUGAACGUGCCAUAUCAUGGGGCCAGUGCUGCAAUCCCCAUCUGGAAAGUACAAGUGGAGUCCAAUGAAUUCUCAAAGAAUUACCUCCUUACUGCUACUCCUCACGAGAGGCAGUUUAAAUAUGUCACAGGCAAGGAUCCGCCUGAUAUCAAGAAUCAAAUAGCUAUUGGAAUGGCCGUAAGUUCUCAUCUGGAGACUAUUUUAGUGGUGAAUUUUAUCGGAAAGGAAACAAAUUUUGAUACGUUGCAGCCUUGAAGGUGUAUCCUUCAGUUCUGGGUGACGAUAAUCCUAGGUUGUACAUCUACGCCAUUGUAAGUCCAUACCACUACAAUAUACUUAAAACAGUCUGAUUGGGAGAUCAUAAAUAGUAGUAGCAUAGUUUUUUUCUUGUCCGUCCAGACUGUUAGAAUGAAGAAUUCCACACAUAUGCCUGCAGAACGACGGCGGCGUGGAUUCGCACUGCUUGAAUCAUGACUGCCCAUUCAUUCAGACCAACAACCAGUUUGCACUUGGGACACAAUUCAGGGACAGCGAAUCCAAGGUUGGUGGUGACCUCUACUUCGCCACGGUUGCGUUGUACAGGCCGACCGGGCUGUUGGUGUGGUGGCUGGCUAUCAACAAUGUGGCCAUCGGCUAUUUCCCCUCGAGCAUGUUCCCAGUGCCCUUCAUGGAGAGCUUACACAAUGAGAUGGGCGGACGGGUGCUGGAAACGCGGCCAGGGGGCUGGCACACCACGACGUGGAUGGGCAACGGCAUGUUAGCCUCGGCGGGGGCCAACAACGCCGCCUCCAUCGCCUACUACCUAGGCAUCAAUGACGAGGGCGUCGACCAAGUGGAUGAUUUUCCUGUCAACAGCAUCGUCACCACCCCAAGUGCUACGAUGUCAAGAACCUUGGACCAGAUCUCAAACAUCCUCCGGCGGCUCGGGAGGAUACUACUGCGAUCAAUAAUUUAUCAACAAGGUAAAAAAGAAAAUAAAAAGCAGUUUGCUACCGCUCACCAUAGUCCUUGAUGUCUUGCUGUUGUACUAUAAAUCCUGCAAAUUCUUUGUUGACACAUGGGAGAGGAAAAUGUGUGAUUACUGUANNNNNNNNNNNNNNNNNNNNNNNNNNNNNNNNNNNNNNNNNNNNNNNNNNNNNNNNNNNNNNNNNNNNNNNNNNNNNNNNNNNNNNNNNNNNNNNNNNNNNNNNNNNNNNNNNNNNNNNNNNNNNNNNNNNNNNNNNNNNNNNNNNNNNNNNNNNNNNNNNNNNNNNNNNNNNNNNNNNNNNNNNNNNNNNNNNNNNNNNNNNNNNNNNNNNNNNNNNNNNNNNNNNNNNNNNNNNNNNNNNNNNNNNNNNNNNNNNNNNNNNNNNNNNNNNNNNNNNNNNNNNNNNNNNNNNNNNNNNNNNNNNNNNNNNNNNNNNNNNNNNNNNNNNNNNNNNNNNNNNNNNNNNNNNCUAUCAUGCUUUUAAUUUUAAAUUGACAUGUGAGAACAAAUCUGUAAAUCGAUCAGAAAAUAAGGUGAUAAUUCUCAUGCGACCCACCUAAGCAAUAGUAAUGAUCAAGGCAUGGAUUUUAGUCACUUUCAGCAUAGAAAAUUAAGAGAAACAAUAAUCCAUGGCAAUGAAACAGCGAAAGGUGCUAGGUUUGUCACUUGAUAUCAAGGAAGGGAAUAUUAGAUUCCAAUUUCCGUUAAGGAAAGGCAUGGAACACGUCCCUAAAAAGAAAAUUAAAUUACCAUAUGAAUCUAUUAUGAGAGCCACCUAUGGAUUGCCUAACAAAUAUGGCAAUACAUAGAUCUAUCUUUGCUUUUAUGCCUAGCUAGGGGCGUUAAAUGAUAGCGCUUGUCGGUAGGCCACCCAAUUUUAUUUUUAUUCCUUACUUUUUGUUCCUCUUUAGUAAUAAAUAAUUUAUCUAGCCUCUUUUUUGGUUGUGUUUUUUGUGUUUAAUUAGUGUUUGUGCCAAGUAGAACCGUUGGGAAGACUUGGGGAAAGUCUUUUUGAUCUUGUUGUAAAAAACAGAAAUUUUAGCGCUCACGAGAAUUGCUGCCAUUUUUUUUACUGGAGAGCGCUAUUUAGUUAAUUCUUUUUGAAGAUGACUAAUAGAUAAAUUUCUCACGUCCAGAAAUUUAUUUUAGAAUUUUUAGGUUUCCAGAAGUAUUUGAAACCUACAGAUUACUAUAGACUGUUCUGUUUUUGACAGAUUCUGAUUUUCGUGUGUUGUUCGCUUAUUUUGAUGAAUCUAUGGCUAUAAAUAGAGUUUAUGAACCAUAGAAAAGUUGGAAUAAAGUAGGUUUAACACCAAUAUAAAUCAAGAGUGAGUUCAUUACAGUACCUUGAAGUGGUGGUUUGUUUUCUUUUACUAACGGAGCUCACGAAGAUUUUCCUUUAAGUUUUGUGUUGUGAAUUAUUCAAGUUUUGGGUAAGGAUUUGAUGGAUUAUGGAACAAGGAGUGGCAAGAGCCUAAGCUUGGGGAUGCCCAAGGCACCCAAGCUAAAUUCCAAGAACAACCAAAAGGCUAAGCUUGGGUAUGCCCUGGAAGGCAUCCCCUCUUUCGUCUUCAUCCAUCGGUAACUUUACUUGGAGCUAUAAUUUUAUUCGCCACAUGAUAUGUGUUUUGCUUGGAGCGUCUUGUAUGAUUUCAGUCUUUGCGUUUUAGUUUACCACGAUUAUCCUUGUUGUACACACUUUUUGGGAGAGACACACAUGAACUGGAAUUUAUUAGAAUACUCUAUGUGCUUCACUUAUAUCUUUUGAGUUGUAUAAUUUUUGCUCUAGUGCUUCGCUUAUAUCUUUUAGAGCACGGCGGUGGUUCUAUUUUAUAUAAAUAAUUGAUCUCUCAUGCUUCACUUAUAUCAUUUUGAGAGUCCUUUAGAACAACAUGGUAAUUCACUUUGGUUAUAAAUUUUAAAUGCUAAGAGAAGUUGGAUGCUUGAUAGAUGGUUUUGAGAUAUAAGGUGUGCUAGUUGAGUAAUUGUGAAAUUGAUGAAUACUUGUGUUGAAGUUGGCAGGUCCGGUAGCAUGCACGUAUAAUGAAUGUUAUGUGACAAAUUUGAAGCAUGGGGUGUUCUUUGAUUGCUUUCCUUAUGAGUGGCUGAUACGUCUCUGCCGUAUCUAUAAUUUUUGAUUGUUCCAUGAUAAUAUUAUUCAACUUCAUAUACUUUUUGGCAACUUUUUAUAUUAUUUUUGGGACUAACAUAUUGAUCCAGUGCCCAGUGCCAGUUCCUGUCUCUUGCAUGUUUUUGGUUUCGUAGAAUAUCCAUAUCAAACGGAGUCCAAACGGGAUAAAAAAGGGCGGAGCUUAUUUUUGGAAAAUAUGGAAAAUUCGGAAGGAAAAUCAACACGAACCAGUGCCCGAGGUGGUCACGAGGCAGGGGGCGCCCCCCCUAGGGCGCGCCCCUACCCUCGUGAGCCCACCGUAAGGCGGUUGACACUCUUCUUUUGCCGCAAGAGAGCUAAUAUUCGGGAAAAAAUCACGUCGAAGGUUUCAGGCCAAUCGGAGUUACGGAUCUCCAUAUAUAUACGAAACGGUGAAACAGAGCCAGAGGAGAGCGCAGAACCAGAGAGAUAGAUCCAAUCUCGGAGGGGCUCUCGCCCCUCCCAUGCCAUGGAGGCCAAGGACCAGAGGGAAAACCCUUCUCCCAUCUAGGGAGGAGGUCAAGGAAGAAGAGGAAGAAGGGGGCCCCUCUCCCCCUCUCCUCCGGUGGCGUCGGAACGCCGCUGUGGCCAUCAUCAUCAUCACCGCGAUCUUCACCAACACAUCCGCCAUCUUCACCAACAUCUCCAUCACCUUCCCCCUCUAUCUACAGAGGUCCGCUCUCCCGCAACCCGUUGUACCCACUACUUUCACAUGGUGCUUUAUGCUUCAUAUUAUUAUCCAAUGAUGUGUUGUCAUCCUAUGAUCUCUGAGUAGAUUUUCGUUGUCCUAUCGGUGGUUGAUGAAUUGCUAUGAUUGAUUUAAUUUGCUUGUGGUUAUGUUGCUGUCCUUUGGUGUCCAUCAUAUGAUUGCGCGCGUGGAUCACACCCUAGGGUUAGUUUGUAUGUUGAUAGGACUAUGUAUUGGAGGGCAAGAGUGACCGAAGCUUCAACCUAGCAUAGAAAUUGAUGCAUACGGGAUUGAAGGGGGACCAAUAUAUCUUAAUGCUAUGGUUGGGUUUUACCUUAAUGAACAUUAGUAGUUGCGGAUGCUUGCUAAUAGUUCCAAUCAUAAGUGCAUAGAAUUCCAAGUCAGGGAUGACAUGCUAGCAGUGGCCUCUCCCACAUAAUACUUGCUAUCGGUCUAGUAAAGUAGUCAAUUGCUUAAGGGACAAUUUCGCAACUCCUACCACCACUUUUCCACACUCGCUAUAUUUACUUUAGUUGCUUCUUUACCUUAACAGCCCCUAGUUUUAUUUUCAUGCUCUUUACUUUCUUGCAAACCUAUCCAACAACACCUACAAAGUACUUCUAGUUUCAUACUUGUUCUAGGUAAAGCGAACGUCAAGUGUGCGUAGAGUUGUAUCGGUGGUCGAUAGAACUUGAGGGAAUAUUUUUUCUACCUUUAGCUCCUCGUUGGGCUCGACACUUUUACUUAUCGAAAACUGUUGCGAUCCCCUAUACUUGUGGGUUAUCAAGACCCUUUUCUGGCGCCGUUGCCGGGGAGCAAUAGCGUGGGGUGAAUAUUCUCAUGUGUGCUUGUUUGCUUUGUCACUAAGUAAUUUUUAUUUGCUGUUCUUAGUUGUUUUCUAUCUUUAUUUAUGGGUAGGAAACGCAAAAUACAAAAAAAUUUAGUUGUAUCUACUGAACCAAUGGAUGAAGAACCACUCAAAAAUCUAUCACACUGCUGAAGCUUUUUACUUGGAUCAUCUUUGAUCCCUUUGUGCUCGUGCUGAAACCCCAACUAGCUUAGUUGAGGGCAAAUCCUUAGAUGAGCAUGCUUUUUAUGUGCGACACCGUAUAUCUGAAAAAAGGGAAAUUAUUAUGGAGUCAAAUUCAACGUUUGCAAUGCUAUGCUUGGAAUUUAUGUGAAUUAUAUGAUUUUACUUGUUGUUCUGAAAACCCUAAGAAACACCUUCCCUACCAAUGCGAGUUUAUUAAUAAUGGAAUCUUAUCUUCUUAUGCUAAAGGUGUUUAUAGUUACUAUGAUGUUCAACAAAUUGAAGAAUUUGCUGCUUUUGAGGGUGCUUAUGAAAUUGCUUCUUUGAUUGAAAAGUAUGAUGCUACUUUUCACAAAUCUGAAAAUUUUGCUAUACUUAAAUAUUACUAUGAUAAUUAUCCAUCUAAUACCUAUGUUAAACAAUAUAUUGAGGAAUACUCUACUAUCCAAGAAGAGACUAAUAUUUUGCAGGAGUCUAUGGAAGAAGAAGUUGCUGACACUGUGAGCUCACUAGAUGGAAAAGAUGAGGAGGAGAGCGAAGAAUAAAAGGAGGAAGAGCGGAUUGAUCACCCGUGCCCACCUUCUAAUGAGAGUAACUAUUCAACUCAUACAUUGUUUAAUUCCCCUUCAUGCUUACCGAAGGAUGAAUAUUAUGAUAAUUGUUAUGAUCCCGUCGAUUCUUUUGAAAUAUCCCUUUUUGAUGAUGCUUGCUAUGCUUGUGGCCAAGAUGCCAAUACGAAUUAUGCUUAUGGAGAUUAACUUGCUAUAGUUCCUUAUGUUAAACAUGAAAUUGUUGCUAUUGCACCCACACAUGAUAGUCCUAUUAUCUUUUUGAAUUCUCCAAACUACACUAUAUCGGAGAAGUUUGCACUUAUUAAGGAUUACAUUGAUGGGUUGCCUUUUACCGUUGCACAUGAUGAUUUUGAUGAAUAUAAUAUGCAUGUGCUUGCUGCUCCUACUUGCAAUUAUUAUGAGAGAGGAACUAUAUCUCCACCUCUCUAUGUUUCCAAUAUGAUAAAAUUGCAUGAAACUAUGUAUACUAUGCAUUGGCCUUUACUUUGUGUGCAUGAAUUGUUCUUUUAUGACAUGCCGAUGCAUAGGAAGAGAGUUAGACUUCGUCAUUGCUUGAUAUAUGUUGCUUUGUGCUCACUACUAAAUUACAAAUCAUUGUUAAUUAAAAUUGGCUUUGAUAUACCUUGGGAUCCGGGUGGAUUCACUACUUGAGCACUAUAUGCCUAGCUUAAUGGCUUUAAAGAAACCACUGCCAAGGAGACAACCCGGAAGUUUUAGAGAGUCAUUUUUUUCUGUUGAGUGCUUUCAUAUAGUUUAAAAACAACAAAAAUAAAGAGGGGGACCCAAAACUUUUUCAAAAAGGAAAGCGAAAGUGAGAAAGACAAGCACUGUUGAAGUGGGAGAGCUCCUUGAACUUUGUUCAUGCUCACGACAACUUUGUGAAUCUUGAUUACAGAAACUUUUCAAAAAAAAUAAUUAUCCCAUUUUACAAUUCCAUUGUCUUAUAAAAAUAAUGUGCCAAGGUUUGCCUUUAGGAUGUUUACAUUUGCUUGAUGGUUUGUACGGUGCAGGACAUAAUCUUUGGCUGUAGUGCGCGAUUUUACAUUUUUAGCCGGGACGUCAAAUGGUUCUGAUUAUUUUUGCACUGUCUUCCUAUACAAAUUUUUUAUUUUUCCUAAUUUUGGUAGAAUUUUUCAAGUAUCAGAAGUAUGGUGAAUGUUCAAAUUAUUACAGACUAUUCUGUUUUAGACAGAUUCUGUUUUUUGAUGCAUAGUUUGCUUGUUUUGAUGAAACUAUCAAUUUAUAUCAGUGGAUUAAGCCAUGAAAAAUUUAUACUACAGUAGACACAAUGCAAAAACAAAAUAUGAAUUGGUUUGCAACCGUACUUAGAGUAGUGAUUUUCUUUAUUAUACUAACGGAUCUUACCGAGUUUUUUGUUGAAGUUUUGUGUGGAUGAAGUGUUCGAUGAUCGAGAAGGUCUCGAUGUGAGAAGAAGGAAGAGAGGCAAGAGCUCAAGCUUGGGGAUGCCCGAGGGACCCCAAGUAAAUAUUCAAGGAGACUCAAGCGUCUAAGCUUGGGGAUGCUGGGGAGGCAUCCCCUCUUUCUUCAACAAGUAUCGGUAUGUUUUCGGAUUCGUUUCGUUCAUGCGAUAUGUGCAAUCUUGGAGCGUCUUUUGCAUUUAGUUUUCAUUUUUUCUUUUAUGCACCAUGCUGGUAUGAGAUAGUCCUUGGUUGAUUUAUAGAAUGCUCAUUGCACUUCACUUAUAUCUUUUGAGUAUAGCUUUAUAGAAUGCUUCAUGUGCUUCACUUAUAUCAUUUGAAGUUUGGAUUGCCUGUUUCUCUUUACAUAUACAACUGCCAUUUGUAGAAUGAUUUUUUGCUUCACUUAUACUUGUUAGAUCGUAGGCAUAUCUUUUGUAGAAAGAAUUAAACUCUCUUGCUUCACUUAUAUCUAUUUGGAGAGAUGACAGGAAUUGGUCAUUCACAUGGUUGGUCAUCAAAUCCUACAUAAACUUGUAGAUCGCUGAAUAUGAUAUGUUUGAUUCCUUGCAAUAGUUUUGCGAUAUAAAGAUGGUGAUAUUAGAGUCAUGCUAGUGGGUAGUUGUGGAUUAGUAGAAAUACUUGUGUUGAGGUUUGUGAUUCCUGUAGCAUGCACGUAUCGUGAACCGUUAUGUAACGAAGUCGGAGCAUGAUUUAUUUAUUGAUUGUCUUCCUUAUGAGUGGCGGUCGGGGACGCGCGAUGGUGUUUUCCUACCAAUAUAUCCCCCUAGGAGCAUGCGUGUAGUACUUUGUUUCGAUGACUAAUAGAUUUUUGCAAUAAGUAUGUGAGUUCUUUAUGACUAAUGUUGAGUCCAUGGAUUAUACGCACUCUCACCCUUCCACCAUUGCUAGCCUCUCUAGUACUGCGCAACUUUCGCCGGUACCAUAAACCCACCAUAUACCUUCCUCAAAACAGCCACUAUACCUACCUAUCAUGGCAUUUCCAUAGCCAUUCCAAGAUAUAUUGUCAUGCAACUUCCAUCAUCAUCAUAUACAUGACUUGAGCAUUCAUUGUCAUAUCGCUUUGCAUGAUCGUAAGAUAGCUAGCAUGAUGUUUUCAUGGCUUGUCCGUUUUUUGAUGUCAUUGCUACGCUAGAUCAUUGCACAUCCCGGUACACCGCCAGAGGCAUUCAUAUAGAGUCAUAUCUUUGUUCUAGAUAUCGAGUUGUAAUAUUGAGUUGUAAGUAAAUAAAAGUGUGGUGAUCAUCAUUAUUAGAGCAUUGCCCCAGUGAGGAAAGGAUGAUGGAGACUAUGAUUCCCCCAAAAGUCGGGAUGAGACUCUGGACUUUACAAAAAAAAAGAGGCCAAAGAAGCCCAAAUAAAAAAAGGAGGCCAAAGAAGCCCACCAAAAAAACAAAAAAAUGUGAGAAAAAGAGAGAAGGGGCAGUGCUACUAUCCUUUUUCCACACUUGUGCUUCAAAGUAGCACCAUUUUCUUCAUAUAGAGAGUCUCUUGAGUUAUCACUUUCAUAUACUAGUGGGAAUUUUCAUUAUAGAACUUGGCUUGUAUAUUCCGAUGAUGGGCUUCCUCAAAUGCCCGAAGUCUUCAUGAGCAAGCAAGUUGGGUGCACACCCACUUAGUUUCAGUUAGAGCUUUCAUACACUUAUAGCUCUAGUGCAUCUGUUGCAUGGCAAUCCCUACUCACUCACAUUGAUAUCUAUUGAUUGGCAUCUCCAUAGCCCGUUGAUACGCCUAGUUGAUGUGAGACUAUCUUCUCCUUUUUGUCUCCUCCACCAUCAUAUUAUAUUCCACCCAUAGUGCUAUGUCCAUGGCUCACGCUCAUGUAUUGCGUGAAAGUUGAAAAGGUUUGAGAACGUCAAAAGUAUGAAACAAUUGCUUGGCUUGUCAUCGGGGUUGUGCAUGAUUUGAAUAUUUGUGUGGUGAAGAUGGAGCAUAGCCAGACUAUAUGAUUUUGUAGGGAUAACUUUCUUUGGCCAUGUUAUUUUGAAAAUACAUGAUUGCUUUAUUAGUAUGCUUGAAGUAUUAUUUUCUUAAUGUCAAAGGAUAGACUAUUGCUUUGAAUCACUCGUGUCUUAAUAUUCAUGCCAUGAUUAGACAUAUGCUCAAGAUUAUGCUAGGUAGCAUUCCACAUCAAAAAUUAUCUUUUUUUAUCAUUUACCUACUCGAGGACGAGCAGGAAUUAAACUUGGGGAUGCUGAUACGUCUCCGUCGUAUCUAUAAUUUUUGAUUGGUCCAUGCUAAUAUUAUUCCACUAUCAUAUAAUUUUUGGCAACUUUUUAUAUUAUUUUUGGGACUAACAUAUUGAUCCAGUGCCCAGUGCCAGUUCCUGUCUGUUGCAUGUUUUUGGUUUCGCAGAAUAUCCAUAUCAAACGGAGUCCAAACGGGAUAAAAACGGACGGAGCUUAUUUUUGGAAAAUAUGGAAAAUUCGGAAGGAAAAUCAACGCGAACCAGUGCCCGAGGUGGUCACGAGGCAGGGCACGCCCCCUACCCUCGUGAGCCCACCGUAAGGUGGUUAACGCUCUUCUUUUGCCGCAAGAAAGCUAAUAUUCGGAAAAAAAAUCACGGCGAAGGUUUCAGGCCAAUCGGAGUUACGGAUCUCCAUAUAUAUACGAAACGGUGAAACAGAGCCAGAGGAGAGCGCAGAACCAGAGAGAAACAGAGAGAUAGCUCCAAUCUCGGAGGGGCUCUCGCCCCUCCCAUGCCAUGGAGGCCAAGGACCAGAGGGGAAACCCUUCUCCCAUCUAGGGAGGAGGUCAAGGAAUAAUAGGAAGAAGGGGGAUCAUCUCCCCCUCUCCUCCGGUGGCGCCGGAACACCGCCGUGGCCAUCAUCAUCAAAACCGCGAUCUUCACCAACACCUCCGCCAUCUUCACCAACAUAUCCAUCACCUUCCCCCCUCUAUCUACAGCGGUCCACUCUCCCGCAACCCGCCGUACCCUCUACUUGAACAUGGUGUUGUAUGCUUCAUAUUAUUAUCCAAUGAUGUGUUGCCAUCCUAUGAUGUCUGAGUAGAUUUUCGUUGUCCUAUCGGUGGUUGAUGAAUUGCUAUGAUUGAUUUAAUUUGCUUGUGGUUAUGUUGUUGUCCUUUGGUGCCCAUCAUAUGAUUGCGCGCGUGGAUCACAACCUGGGGUUAGUUUGUAUGUUGAUAGGACUAUAUAUUGGAGGGCAAGAGUGACCGAAGCUUCAACCUAGCAUAGAAAUUGAUGCAUACGGGAUUGAAGGGGGACCAAUAUAUCUUAAUUCUAUGGUUGGGUUUUACCUUAAUGAACAUUAGUAGUUGCGGAUGCUUGCUAAUAGUUCCAAUCAUAAGUGCAUAGAAUUCCAAGUCAGGGAUGACAUGCUAGCAGUGGCCUCUCCCACAUAAUACUUGCUAUCGGUCUAGUAAAGUAGUCAAUUGCUUAAGGGACAAUUUCGCAACUCCUACCACCACUUUUCCACACUCGCUAUAUUUACUUUAGUUGCUUCUUUACCUUAACAGCCCCUAGUUUUAUUUUCGUGCUCUUUACUUUCUUGCAAACCUAUCCAACAACACCUACAAAGUACUUCUAGUUUCAUACUUGUUCUAGGUAAAGCGAACGUCAAGCGUGCAUAGAGUUGUAUCGGUGGUCGAUGGAACUUGAGGGAAUAUUUGUUCUACCUUUAGCUCCUCGUUGGGUUCGACACUUUUACUUAUCGAAAACUGUUGCGAUCCCCUAUACUUGUGGGAUAUCAGUGGCGAUCGGGGACGAGCGAUGGUCUUUUCCUACCAACCUAUCCCCCUAGGAGCAUGUGCGUAGUGCUUGGUUUUGAUGACUUGUAGAUUUUUGCAAUAAGUAUGUGAGUUCUUUAUGACUAAUGUUGAGUCCAUGGAUUAUACGCACUCUCACCCUUCCAUCAUUGCUUGCCUCUUCGGUACCAUGCAUUGCCCUUCCUCACCUAGAGAGUUGGUGCAAACUUCGCCGGUGCAUCCAAACCCCGUGAUAUGAUACGCUCUAUCACACAUAAGCCUUCUUAUAUCUUCCUCAAAACAGCCACCAUACCUACCUAUUAUGGCAUUUUCAUAUCCAUUUCGAGAUAUAUUGCCAUGCAACUUUCCACCGUUCCAUUUAUUAUGACACGCAUCAUCAUUGUCAUAUUGCUUUGCAUGAUUAUGUAGUUGACAUCGUAUUUGUGGCAAAGCCACCAUUCAUAAUUUUUCAUACAUGUCACUCUUGAUUCAUCGCAAUCCCGGUACGCCGGAGGCAUUCACAUAGAUUCAUAUUUUGUUCUAAGUAUCGAGUUCUAAUUCUUGAGUUGUAAGUAAAAAUAAGUGUGAUGAUCAUCAUUCACUACUAGGGAAAACCUUAUACACAGAACUUUAGCAGUAGCGCGGGUCAAAGAAGCACGCUGGUGCUAAGUAGCAGUAGCGCGCCUGUGCAAACCGCACUGUAGAUAAAGUUUUAGCAGUAGCGCGUCUUGUUCUAAACACAUUACUACUAAAAUUCCCACGGCUUAGCCGAUAGGCUACACAUAGUAGUAGCGACCUAUAUCGAACCGCGCUACCUCUACUUUCUUUGUAGCAGCGCAUUUGAAUCUAAACUCGCUACUGCUAAAGGAUAUAAAAUUAAAUGUAAAGCACAUAGAAAGGUAAUUGAAAAUGAAAGAAAUAGAAUAAGGUGAGAGGAAAAAAAUAAAAUGUGAAGAAAACUAAAUGAAAAGGGGAAAAAGAGAAAGGAGUAGCAGUAGCGUGUAUCCCAGAACGUGUUGUAGCUAAUGUAGCAGUAGCACGCUUUCUGGAACACGCUACUACAACUUCUGACUUAACCACGGGGUUCAUCCUUCCCCAUGGCCACUUCCCCCAAAUCCAACUCUCCACUCUCGCCACCGCUGUUGCCCAUCGGCCGCCGUGCGCUCUCCGCACACCAUCUACGCCGCCCUGACCCCAGAUUCAACGCCGCCCCCGCCCCCGACCUCAACACCGCCCCGGGCGCCACCCCCAACCCCGACCUCGACGCCGCCAUCCGCCGCGCGCCCGAGCCCCAACCCCGACCUUGAUGCCGCCUGACCCUCCCUCGUCGUAGGCACCCGAGGUGAGCAUGCCUCCUCCUCCCUCUCCCCUACCUCUGCCUAGGGUUUCUUUAUAUUUUAGUUGCAUCAAAUUUGUUAGGGUUCAUGUAAGGGUGGAAACGAAUCGGAUGCGGAUGCGGCUCAAAUGAGUUAGGGUUCAUCUAAGGGUGGAAACGAAUCGAACUUCUAAGAUGAAUCAUAAAACGAGUAAAAUUUGACCACUUAUUUCACUUUAUAGUUGGAUAAUUGGAAUAUCCGCUACCACUUUCCACCCCUAGCUUCAUCAAAUUAGAUGGUAAUUAGGGCAGUAGUUCCUAGGUACUAAUUAGUUAGUAAGAACUAGGUACUAAUUAGGUACUAGUUUAUUUUUAUUUAUAGUAAGUUUAUUUUUAAUAAGAACUAGUUGAAUUAAUAGAACUAGUUAAUAAGAACUUGUUGCUAUUUUUUUAGUUAAAGCAAUUUUCCCGCAUCGACGUGGACGAUGCCUAUCCCGCAUCCUCGUCGUCGAGCCGGCGGAGGACGACACCUGCUUGACUAGAUGGGCCAUGUCCGGGACUGGGCUCUGCUGGGGUGGUACUGGGGGGGGCACUACCUACCGGGGGGCGCAGGUUGCUGAGGACCCAGCCUGUCGUUGACCCGAACCUUCUUUGGUGGCGGUCGCGUGGGCCAGUGACGGUCCAGAGGCUCGAGGACCCCGCGGAGGUGGUGCGUCACCGUGUCAGUGAGGAGGACACGCAUGUCCAUCGCUACUUGUUUGCAUUGGAGCACAGGUUCUCCAAUACCUGGCAGGUUCUCCAGGGAUCUCACUGGAGCUAUGAUCCCAUGAUGGUUCCUUCUCUGUGGGCAUCCGUCGUGCGCUAGGUUUUUAGUUGUAUUAGUGAUGUUAUAUGUAUGACACUAUUCGCGAUGUAUUAGUGAUAAUAUUCGACGAUGUAUGUGUCGGGGGAGGCUGAUCCACCAACACCUAUGGGGAUCGGCGGACCGAACCCCUUUCGGUUCGGUGAGGGCGGAGGCCGCACAAAGAGCGGAUCGAGGCAGUACACGCGAGCAGUUUUACCCAGCUUCGGGCCGCACGGAUGCGUAAAACCCUACUGCUGCUUGUUUGUGUGUAUUGAGUUCUUGCUCAAGAGUGAUGGACGCUAUCAGACUAAGCGUGGGAGUGUUUCUGGUGUUACGAAUGAGCCGAACCCCUUCUACGUUGCACUUGGGCCUCCUUUUAUACUUUCAAGGGGUCACCGACAGGUGGCAACGUAGACUAGAAGGGUAAAAAUGGAAAAGGAUGCGGUAGGUGCAGCUACCGCUACUGUGGACACAGUGCACCCUACCUAACUCUGACAGCAGGGGACAAGGUCAUUGAAUGCCCGUCUGAGCUGCCUAAAUAGUGCAAAAAGUGACCGUUAGGAGCGCCACCGUUUGCCACGAUGGCCUUCUCUUCAUCUCCGCUUGCCACCGCGUACCCCUGGCUGCACAGGCUCCCGCCACGCGUCCCUGAGGAAGCCUCAUGGCGACACACGGGUGGGUGCGCUGGAGCGUGGGUACAGAGUGGCAGCAAGCCCCCGGCGAGUACCUUGUCGGGGUCGUCGUCUUGUCGUGUUUGGGAGCUUGUCGCUCACCGGGCCUUGCCGGGACGCGCGGCGCAUCGCGGCAAGCUUUCUUGGUAUGCCUUGAGUGGCCUUCCCGGCAAGCUCCUCUUGCCGGGGUCUUGUCUCUUCCCGGCAAGAUCCUCUUGCCGGGGCCUGGGUUGGCCUUCCCGGCAAGCUCCUCUUGCCAGGGCCUUGGUUUGAGUACUUUGUUCUUGAAUGGUCUUCAAGGGAACCACGGAGGGUCUUGGCGGUCACCCGGCAAGCCUUGCCGCGGGAUGCUGCGACCGCCCGUGCACAAGUUCGGGGUAAUAGGGUACCCCUACUCUAGUACACCGACAGGAGCCCCCGGGCCUGGGCCAUACACGGUGCCGAGCGCUGUUGGGCCAGGCCCAAACUAGUGCACGGGCACGCGCGGCCUAGGUCACGUCGCAUAUCUCUCCGCUCCCACCGUGCACGCCCAGAACGGCACGCGUCAAACGCGGUGUUGUGGGUGACGCGGGCGGCGUGUGCGGGGCUAAGCCCCUCGAGCAUGCGUCAGGCCACGAUGAUGGGGACGGUACACGCCCUCCUCCCUAAACGGAGGUAGGCGUGGGGGCGUGGUGCAUUUACUAGACGGGGCCGGUGCACGGUUUUCGGGACGUCCACUCCCCACGAUCACGAGGCGGAGCGAGGCCGCCUCAUCCGUCGCCUUGGUUCUGCAUCCCCGCCACGCGGCUCCCAUGCGCUUGGGGUCACGGACGGUGGAAGUGGGAAACUGGGCCGUCGCGAGCAGAGGCAGCGGGUUGGCCCCGACUUCCUGCUCUUCCCGUGCCUUGAUUCGCUGAGCGGGGCGGCCGAGCCCCCACCUCGCUCCUUUAUAAAGAGCGGGAGGGGAGGACAGAAACCUGCACUCUCUCAUCUCCUCCUUUCUUCAGCUUCUGCUCCCCUUUCUCUCUUUCGCCAUGGAGAAAGGGAACCCAGGCCCUUCAUCGGUGGCGGCGAGGGUCGCCGCCAGACAGCGCACCUCUCCCUCUCCCGCGCCCCUGGUGGCAGAGCCAGCCAUAAGGGGAAGAGGGAGGGGGCGAGGUCGCGGAUGAGGUCGAGGACGAGGUCGAGGCGCUCGGGGAAGAGGCGGGCGGGGCGGCGCGCCAGCUUCGCCUCCGCCGGCGGCUCCUCCCCCCACGGUGGUCCAUAUAGGGGAGGACCCUUGCGAGUUCUUCGUCAAGCUGCGUCGGGCGCCUCGUCGUCGCCUCCGGCUUCCAGCUCCGUUUGCGAGCGCGAUGGAGUUGGACCCGCCCGAGACACUGAGACUGCACAUGAGGGGCUGUGGGAUCAGCGGCACGCAAGUCCGCGUUGUAUUCCCAGCCCCUAAUGUGAUGUAUCUUGAUCGAGGGUGGAAGACGUUCGCCCGUAUCCACAGCCUGAUGGAGUGGUUUACCCUCCAUUUUAAGUUGAUGGAGGGCGAUCUCCUCUCCGUCAAGGUCUUCGGGUGCUUCGGCACUCGGGCGAAGUGCUGCGUGGACAGCUCCUCCGAUAGCGAAGGCUCCUCCUCGAGCGAGAGUGACGAGGAGGAGAGCGACAGCAAAAAUGAGGGUAGCGGGCGGCGGGGUGGCGGGUCCGACUAGGCGUCGGGCGCUGCUUCGCGCGGCACCGGCGACCCCAUCAUCCGUGUCGCCGGCUCCUUGAACUCCCCGGGGUCGUCUCCUUGGGCGGCUGGCGUAGGGAGGCUGCGGAAGGGGAAGAGGGCUGGCGACAAGGCCGUCAGGUCGGAGUACGAGGGCGUGGUGCCCUCGACAGCGUGCUGACGUCCUGCCUCUCUGUCUUCGAGCCCCGCUUCCAGCGCCGCCAUCGCCGUCCAGCCUUCGGACGGCCCCCGGGAUGUUCUCUUGGUGUCUUCUGGCACCCGUAGCUCGCCUAGGCGCUCCUUUUGCCCUUUUCGCCUCCUCGGCCUGCCUCCUGAGGAGAGGGACAGGAAAGGGAUUACGGGCAUCUUAUCUUUUUAAUUUGUAAGCCUUCGGGCCUUAGUUGUAUCUAAAACUUGUAAUCCUCUCUUUCAUGUUUUUCAUCCUCUAUGGACUGUACCUGAGUGGGAUGUUUUUUCAUGAAAAGGGGAUGCUUGCCGGGUUAUUUGUCUCACGGGUUGAACCCACGCCAAGGAGCAAAUCCUUGGUAUCCCUCAGACAGACAUUUCAUCUCCCAGCAACAUGCCGCCUUCCCACGUCGCUCGACCUUUCUCACGCCUUUGACGGAGGCGGGAACAAGGUGGGUGCGGUCUCCUCGUUUCAUCCCUUUGCUGCCGCGACUACGACCAAACUUAGCCCCGGGAACGAGCCCCAGGGCCUAGAGUUGAGGGAGCACGGCAGUUUUCGGGAAGAAACGCGGUUUCGCAUUCCCCAGUCCAUAAGAGGAUGCAUGAAAGACUUAUCUGAUAUUGCAGCCCCCGACAACUCUGGUUUGUCGUGGACGAUUCUUGGCACUCGCAGCCCCCAGCGAUACUGGCUUGCCGGGGCCCAGGUGUCGGCGCGCCCUUCUUCUUUCCUUGUCGCUGCCAGCCAUGUCAUGGGAACACUCUAUUAGAGGCGCGACAAGUUAUUUUUGUAAUAUAGCUCUUCUCUUAAGCAAAAAAUUGCUGCGUUACUUCCUUUACUCGACUCUUGACUUUGUAUGGUUCUGCCCUACGCUUUCUAGGGAAACUUGCCGGUGCAGGCACCCUUGCCGCGAGCGCCGAGUGCGGAACUUCAGCAGCCUGCUAGCGGGGUUGCUACCGACAAGCAACCUUGUCGCAACUAGUUGCAGCUCACUUAAGUUGUUGAGCGAACUCGAAACAAAGUAAGGGCGCUAGCGGCUCACUUAAGUUGCUGAGCGGACUCGAAGCAAAGUAAGGGCGCUAGCAGCUCACUUAAGUUGUUGAGCGGACUCGAAACAAAGUAAAGGCGCAACUAGCUAUGAGUUGGUUCCUCCGCGCACAGGUUUUCCAUACAAAGCACGGUCGUUCAAGGAAAAUAACUCAAAAACUUAAAAAAACUGAUUGCUCAAGCUUUAGCAACUUAGCUUUUCUGUCGUCUGCUUCCCGGCAAGGAGAAACUUUCUUGAACGGCCUGGUCCACACCAUUAUCUUCUCCUCCCCCCCCCCCGGUAAACCUUGUGGGCGAGGGAACCUUCCUUAUUUUGAGAAAGAAACAGAGAAAUAAAGUAAUGAUAUGGAGCCUUGGGCUCGUUAUUGCUUACCGGGAUUUGGUGCUGCACAAAGUGUCAGAUAACAUAUGCAAAAAAAGGAUUAUAGCAUAAAAACUGACAAGAUGUGCGGGGCACAUGAACUUUACUGGUGCAUGGGGUCUGCGCCCGGCUUUGUACAAAGGAUUACAUGCAACAGCGGCAAGACUUGUACAAAAGGUGGUUGCCGGAAAAGCUUCCGGCAACCGCGCCCUACGGGUAAAACUUACGAAGAUGUUCAAUGUUCCAGGAGUUGCUCACCGGAAUGCCAUCUUCGGUCUCAAGGCGGACAGCGCCGGGCCUAGUGACUCGUUUCACCCGAUAAGGGCCUUCCCACUUCGGCGUCAACUUGUUGGAAUUCUUGGCGGACUGAACACGCCGAAGAACAAGGUCGCCUUCCUCGAAGCUCCUGGCUUUAACUUUGCAGCUAUGGUAGCGACGCAAAGCUUGCUGGUAGCGAGCGGCUCGCACAGCAGCCUGAAGACGGUCUUCCUCAAGGAGCAGCGCGUCGUCUUGCCGCAGCUGCUCUUGCUCAAGCUCAUCAUAAGCGAGCACUCGAGGUGACCCGUAUACGAGUUCCGUGGGGAGAACUGCCUCUGCUCCAUAGACUAGAGUGAAAGGUGUCUGGCCAGUGGCUCGAUUUGGUGUCGUUCUGAUUGACCAAAGAACCACCGGCAGCUCCUCGAUCCAGUUCUUUCCGCACUUGUGCAGCCUGUCGAAAGUUCUGGUCUUGAGCCCGCGCAGCACUUCAGCGUUUGCCCUCUCCGCUUGACCGUUGCUUCUCGGGUGAGCAACAGAAGCGAAGCAGACCUUGGCGCCAAGAUCUUGGACAUACUGCAUGAAGGUGCGGCUCGUAAAUUGCGUGCCGUUGUCGGUGAUGAUCCUGUUAGGAACCCCGAAACAGAAAACAAUCGACCUGAAGAACUUGACUACUGACUGUGCUGUCACCUUCCUCAUUGGUUCCACUUCCGGCAACUUUGUGAACUUGUCGAUUGCAACGUACAAGAACUCAAAGCCCCCGACAGCUCGGGGGAAGGGGCCGAAGAUGUUGAGCCCCCAGACCGAAAAUGGCUAGGAUAAAGGGAUCGUCUGGAGAGCUUGAGCCGGCUGGUGUAUCUGUUUGGAAUGGAACUGGCACGCUUCACACUUGGUUACUUGUGCAGUUGCAUCCUGGAGGGCUGUCGGCCAAAAGAAGCCUUGCCGGAAAGCUUUGCCGGCAAGUGCUCUUGUGCCAAUGUGGUGACCACAUAUGCCUCCAUGUAUCUCUGCCAACAGCUGUUGUCCAUCUUCCCGGCAAAUGCACUUUAAUUUCACACCGUUGAGUCUUAUUCUGUAUAGUGUGUUGUCGACAAACUUGUACAUACUUGACUGCCGGGCUACUUUUUCAGCUUCUUCUUGCUCUUCGGGAAGCUCUCCUGUCUGAAGGAAACGGACAAUCUGCUGCGCCCAUGCUGGAGGUUGUGGCUCGACAACAAGGACUAAAGGCGUAUCUGUUGCUGCGGGAACAUCCGCUUCCACGGCAAGAACCUGCGGCUCUACCGGAGCGUGAUGCUCCCUGACAAGCUUGCCGGAGCAAAACUUGUCGGGAGCGUCUGCUUCGACAGAACAAACCAAGAGGUUUGCCGGAGCAGACUGCUCCUCAGCACUCUUGGCGUCGAUCUUGGGGACCUUCUUGGCGGCGGCUUCGGGAAGCUCUGCCAGAAAGUAGUCACCAGAAACCAACUUCCUCUUCUUAUUCUGUCCAUUUGAUGGUGUCACGGAUGGUUGAGUCAGCUUGAGCACGAAGAUUCCUGGUUCCACAGGCAACUUUAGUGCUGCUCACUUUGACAGGCCAUCAGCAAUGUCAUUCUGAGCUCGCGGAACAUGCUCCAUUUGCAGGCCGUCAAAGUGUUCUUCUAGCUUUCUCACUUCAUCAACAUAUGCUUCCAUCAACGGACUCUGAUAGCUUUUGUUUACUUGGCGGACGACAAGCUGCGAGUCACCCCUUACAAUGAGUUUCUUGAUCCCAAGGUCGGCUGCGAUUCUGAGGCCGGUAAGCAAACCCUCAUACUCUGCAGUAUUGUUCAUUGCUUGCUCCUUGGGAAAGUGCAUCUGGACUACGUACUUGAGGUGCUCUCCGGUGGGUGCGAUAAGCAGCACGCCAGCACCGGCGCCUUGCAGCGAGAAGGCACCAUCAAAGUACAUCAACCACUCUUUGCUUGUCUCCUUGAUGGGGAUGCUCGUCUCUGGAAUUUCUUCGUCUGGGGUUGGCGUCCACUCUGCUAUGAACUCUGCCAAUGCCCUGCUUUGGAUCAUUGCAGUGCUCUCGAACUUGAGGCCAAAGCAUGACAGUUCCAAUGCCCACUCGACAAUCCUGCAUGUUGCUUCUGGAUUCUGCAGUAUCCUCCUCAGCGGAAAGCGAGUGACAACUGUGAUCUCGUGUGCCUGGAAGUAAUGGCGCAGCUUUCUCGAGGCCAUGAGAAGGCCGAAAAGCAGUUUUUGCACACCAGAGUACCUCAACCUAGCCCCCUGGAGAAGGGAGCUGACAAAGUAAACUGGGUGCUGCACCAUCUUCUUCUGCACCUCCUUGCAUGCCUGCGCAGACUCAACUUUGUCGGGGCCAGAGCUUGUCGGAGGAGCCCCCUGCUUGUCGCUGGAUUCACUUGCCGUGGUUGCUGGCUCAUCGUCCGCCUCCCUCUCCGCUACUAACGCAGCACUAACCACUUGAUUGGUUGCCGCUAGGUACAGCAGCAACUUCUCUUGUGGCUUAGGUGCGACAAGUAUUGGAGUGGAGGACAGGUACCUCUUCAAGUCCUGCAGCGCAUCCUCCACUUCCGCAGUCCAUUUCACUGGACCUGCCUUUUUCAAUAUUUUGAAAAACGGCAGGGCGCGCUCAGCAGACUUAGAGAUAAACCUGCUUAGAGCAGCCACGCAACCAGCAAGCCUUCGCACAUCCUUGACGCGCUUCGGUGCUUCAAUCUGCUCGAUGGCCUUGAUCUUGUCGGGGUUGGCUUCAAUUCCCCGCUGAGACACAAAGAACCCGAGAAGCUUGCCGGAAGGGACUCCAAACACGCACUUCUCGGGGUUGAGCUUGAGGUUGAUCUUGCGCAGAUUUGCAAAAGUUUCUUCUAAAUCUUGGAUCAGGGUAGCCUUGUCCUUGCUCUUGACCACUAUAUCAUCCAUGUAGGCUUCCACAUUUCUGUGUAUCUGUGGCUCAAAAGCGACAUGGACUACCCUUACAAAUGUUGAACCAGCAUUCUUCAACCCAAAGGGCAUCCGUACAAAACAGUAUGUGCCGCAAGGGGUGAUAAAUGCGGUUUUUUCCUCAUCCUCUUCUGCCAUGAAGAUUUGAUGGUAUCCUGAAUAUGCAUCAAGAAAUGAAAGCAAAUCACAUCCAGCUAUGGAGUCAACAAUCUGGUCAAUGCGCGGCAAGGGAAAUGGAUCUUUGGGACAAGCUUUAUUGACAUCAGUGAAGUCUAUACAAAGCCUCCAUUUCCCGUUUGCCUUGCGCACGACUACAGGAUUGGCCAACCACGUGGGAUGGAGCACUCCUCUGACAAGGCCUGCUGCUUCCAAUUUCCUGAUCUCUUCUGCAAUGAACUCUUGGCGCUCCACUGCUUGCUUCCUGACUUUCUGCUUGACGGGCCGCGCAUGAGGACAGACGGCAAGGUGGUGCUCGAUUACUUUCCUUGGAACACCGGGGAUAUCAGACGGUUGCCAUGCAAACACAUCGACAUUCGCCCGCAGGAAAGCAAUGAGCGCGCUUUCCUAUUUGGGGUCAAGCGUGGCACUGAUGGUGAAGGUACCACCAGUGCCAUCCUCCUUGGCGGACACCUUCUUGGUCUCGGGUGGAGCUGCCAUCGUCUUCUUGCACUUGCCGGUGGAGCUCGAUGGUGCGUGCUCGACGGUAGCGCAGCACUCCGAAGAGGUGCGCUUGCCGGAGUGGGCAUCAGAGCUCUUGCCGGAGUUUGUCUUCUUCUUCCCCCCGGGAGCUUCAGUGGCAAGUGUGUUGCGGUCAGCUGCGGCUGCUACUUCCCGGUAGAUCUUGUUGGCGCAGAUAAGGGCAUCCUUCUUGUCGCCAGGGACAGAGAUGACACUUAUCGGGCCUGGCAUCUUGAGCAUGUUGUAUGCAUAGUGAGAGGCUACCAUAAACUUGGCGAGCGCUGGACGGCCAAGGAUCCCAUUGUAGGGCAAUGGAAAAUCGGCAACGUCCAAUGUGACCCUCUCAGUUCUGAAAUUCAGCUCGCUGCCAAAUGUGACCGGCAGCGUGAUCUUCCCCUUCGGCUUGCUCCUUCCCGGGUUGAUUCCUUGGAAUGUGCCGGUCUCUUCGAGCUCGCUAUCAGGGAUCUGGAGUUUCUGAAGGACCGCGGAGGAAAUCAGAUUCAAGCCGGCCCCGCCGUCAACUAGCAUCUUCGUGACCUUGAGGUUGCGGAUAGUUGGUGAAACCAACAUCGGCAAGCACCCGACCGCAGUUACGCGAUCAGGGUGAUCCUCAAUGUCGAAGAUGAUAGGCGUGCUGGACCAUUUCAGAGGCUUGCGUGACUCUAUGGAUGGCUCUACUGCAUUCACUUCCCGCAUCCACUGCUUGAGUUGGCGGUGCGAAGUAUGCAGAGAGGCACCACCGUCAACGCACAGGACCUCUGUGGCUUUCUGAAAUUCCUGCUCGUCGGCCUCGUCAUCAUCCAUGUCUUCAUCGUCGUCGUCAUCUUCAUCCUUGUCGCGGCCGCGGGGAGGUCUAUCUCCUUGCUGCUGCUUGGCCUUGCCGCGGCGUCCUCCUCGGCCGAGACGUUUCUUGCCGGAUCCACCAGUUCCUUCCUGGGCCUUCUCCUUGUCGCGCCGCUCGUAUUCAGCUUUCUGCAGCUCAACGAGCUGCUCAACCUUCUUGCAACUCUGGAGAUCGUGGCCCUUGGUGCGGUGGAUCUUGCAAUACUGCUUGCCGGAGCUGUCCUGCUUGUCGGCGGCCGCCACAGGCUGGGCCUCCUUGUCGGAGCCACCAGCUUUAGCUUCCUUGGCGCCACCUCCGUUGCCGGUCUGCUCGACAGCUAGCACUUCCUUGCCCUUCCUCCUUCAGUUGUUCCGCCGCCGGCCUUUCCUUGCCGGGGCGGCAUCCUCACUGUCGGAUCCUCCUGCUCCUGUACUCUCUCUGGGGAGCCUCCUCCCCUCUUCAGCGCGUGCGCACUUGUCGGCCAGGGCGUAAAGCUCGCUGACGUCUCUGAUCUUACACAUCGCCAUCUCCUUCCUCAUCCUUCGGUUUCGCACAUUCUUAUGGAACGCGCUGAUGAUCACGGCGGGGUGGACGUCUGGGAAGUUGUGCUGUACACGGCUGAAUCUCUGAAUGUACUUGCGCAGUGGCUCUCCUUCCUUCUGGGCGAGCAGAUGAAGAUCGCUCUCUUGGCCAUGUGGCUUGUGGCCGCCUGUAAAGGCGCCGACAAACUGAUGGCAUAAAUCUGCCGAAGAGGAGAUGGAAUUGUCCGGCAAGUGCAUGAGCCAGGAUCUGACGUUGGGCUUGAGUACCAGCGGGAAGUAGUUGGCAAGGAUCUUGUCGUCCCGUCCCCCGGCAGCCUGCACCGCGAUGGUGUAGAUGCUGAGAAACUCCGAUGGAUGUGUCUUGCCGUCGUACUUCUCUGGUACAUCUGGUUUGAAAUUCUUUGUGCUGGGCCACUGGACUUGCCGCAGCUCAUGGGUGAACGCAGGACAACCUACCACGUACGGCAGAUCGCCUGGUUCCCCUGGCGCAUGCAUGUCAACAGAGGGCCCAGCGCGCUUGUCGGAUUGACGUCGCGCUUCUCUUCGGCGCUCGAUGCGGGUUCGAGCGUCUUCUUGUUGUCAUUCAUGGAGAACUUGGCGCUGGUCGCGACGAGCUCGUGGGUCCGACGACGCGGUGGAGCCGCUGUCGGGGUGGACCCGACGAGUCGGCGAUCUUGGCCUUCGUAGUGGAGAGUGCAUGGAAGUCGCACCUCCCCCGGUCUUGUUGCCAUCGGCUCGCGUCCGGCUGUUCUGCCGCGGCAGCAAGGUGCUUGGUUGCCGCGCAGUGUCGCCGUUGGCGAAGCCGAUGAGGCUCUGGAUAGUGGCCCUCCAUUCGUCGGUCUUCUCCGCCGUCGGAGGAUAGUCUAGGAGCAGUUGAGCUCGCGCCAAGGCUUCUGCUGGAGUGGCGGGCGGCGGAGGUAAAUGGUGCGAGGAGCGGGGCGUGCUCGGACUUCUAACCACGUUAGAAGGAGCAGUGCCCCGUCCAGGCGACCGUACUUCGCUCGAGCCAGCAUGUUGACGUGCAUGUGGGCCUUGAGCGCCAUGAGAACCACCAGCUUGAUCUUGGCCCAGCGGACGUAUGGCGCUGCGAACGCCAUGACGCUGCUGGUCCCGCGCCUCCUGAGAGGGGCGCGGUGCGCGCAUGGACGCCGAGGUCUGUGCCGCCUUGUCCUUGGACUUGGCCGCACUGAGGGCUCCCUCGUCGACGCCCAUUCUUCCGCCGGCGUCCACUCCACCACCCGUUUGCUCCGGAGGCGGUGAAAGCGACGCAGACGGAACAGCUGCCUCCGAAUCCUUCUUCUUCGGUGGCAUGUCGAUGAAGACAAUGAAGAUUUAGCUCGCGUGCACGCCGGAUCGGGUUCGCACAAUCUCCACGCCCCCUACCUGGCGCGCCAAAGAUGUCGGGGGAGGCUGAUCCACCAACACCUAUGGGGAUCGGCAGACCGAACCCCUUUCGGUUCGGUGAGGGCGGAGGCCGCACAAAGAGCGGAUCGAGGCAGUACACGCGAGCAGUUUUACCCAGCUUCGGGCCCCACGGAUGCGUAAAACCCUACUGUUGCUUGUUUGUGUGUAUUGAGUUCUUGCUCAGGAGCGAUGGACGCUAUCAGACUGAGCGUGGGAGUGUUUCUGGUGUUUCGAAUGAGCCGAACCCCUUCUACGUUGCACUUGGGCCUCCUUUUAUACUUUCAAGGGGUCACCGACAGGUGGCAACGUAGACUAGAAGGGUAAAAAUGGAAAAGGAUGCGGUAGGUGCAGCUACCGCUACUGUGGACACAGUGCUCCCUACCUAACUCUGACGGCAGGGGACAAGGUCAUUGAAUGCCCAUCUGAGCUGCCUAAAUAGUGCAAAAAGUGACCGUUAGGAGCGCCACCGUUUGCCACGAUGGCCUUCUCUUCAUCUCCGCUUGCCACCGCGUACCCCUGGCUGCACAGGCUCCCGCCACGCGUCCCUGAGGAAGCCUCAUGGCGACACGCGGGUGGGUGCGCUGGAGCGUGGGUACAGAGUGGCAGCAAGCCCCCGGCGAGUACCUUGUCGGGGUCGUCGUCUUGUCGUGUUUGGGAUCUUGUCGCUCACCGGGCCUUGCCGGGACGCGCGGCGCGUCGCGGCAAGCUUUCUUGGUAUGCCUUGAGUGGCCUUCCCGGCAAGCUCCUCUUGCCGAGGUCUUGUCUCUUCCCGGCAAGAUCCUCUUGCCGGGGCCUGGGUUGGCCUUCCCGGCAAGCUCCUCUUGCCGGGGCCUUGGUUUGACUACUUUGUUCUUGAAUGGUCUUCAAGGGAACCACGGAGGGUCUUGGCGGUCACCCGGCAAGCCUUGACGCGGGAUGCUGCGACCGCCCGUGCACAAGUUCGGGGUAAUAGGGUACCCCUACUCUAGUACACCGACAGUAUGGAUGCAUGAGAUGAUUUACUUUCGCUUAUUGAAUGCAUGCUAAUUUGAGUCCUAUAAGAUAUUUUGAAAUGUAUAUCUUGUGUUGCUCAAAUAGGAUAUGUGCUGGCCCAAGUGGCCGGUCAUGUUUGCAGGUUACACCUCCGAGUGGCCUAUGUUUUGCUGGAGUGUUGAUUCAUUUCCGUUCCGGCAAAUUUCAGGCGCUCGAUAUGUCCUAUUUUAGCAAAGGUCAUGCUGGAUUUUUCCGUGAAUUUUGGCAUGACUUGUGCCAGAAGAUGUAGGAAAUAUCGAGUGCCCCAGAUUUGUGUGUUGAGUAUCCUGAUAGUUGUCUUCGAUCGAUUUUCAAUUAAUGUUUUAACUAUGAACAUAGGAAAUGUCUGACGACGAAAAGGAUUUCGGUAUUUGCAAAUACUACGAAGAUGAGCGCGGCCUGUGCGACGGAAUCUUCCUAGAUGAUGAUAGGCGCUUCAGCAUCAAGCUAGACGAGAACUUCAAAGUGGAUACAGUAAGUCACAAUGACAAGACUUUUUCGUAAUUAAGCAUGACAUUUGCUUCAUUUGCUUCAACUUAUAAUUUAAGCAUGACAUUAAGCAUGACAAGUCUUUUUUUUACUAUUCUACUAGCGUAUCCCCUUCCAUGCAAGAGUUUUUGUAUUGGAUAAGAUAGGUUUCAGUCGUACUAUGGAGGAAAAGAAAGUUUACUUGAAGACCGAGCAUGGUUAUAUUUUCCACGCAAAAUUAUACAAUUCAGACGACUACACCUAUUUUGGAUGCAAAACAUGGCGAGCACUAUGCAAGACUUAUGCAUUUGAGCCUGAUAUGGUUAUCACCUUUGAUAUUCGUCCGAAAGAUGAUAUUGAAGGUAAUACCGACAUUUGGGUCGAUGUGCAGACGCCUCGAGUUAUACCAUUAUGUAAGUUUCUCAACCAUAUUUAUGUCUUUGAUAUUGUUUAUUCAAAAAUAGUUGACAACUAAUUUGUAUUGUCAGCUUAUUUCAGUGCAAGCAAACAUGUCCAGCGCUUGGUAGACAGGACCUACCACUGUCCCGAGGCUGAACUAAACUGCGAGGAGCUAAGUCAUUAUGUUUCAUGUCUUGAGGAUCUUGAUACUGUCAAGACAAAUUUUCUUCCUGCAUUUAGAAAUGUUAGUACUGAAAACGUGCGACCAAUAGUGUUCAUAAUGAACUACGGUCACAUAUAUUUAGGAAGGAUGGUAAGAUUUUUACUAUUUAUCCUCAGUGCAUCUUUUCCAUACAUUAUUUUUGAAGCUAAACUUCAUUGCUAAGUAUGUUACCAUACGAUGUUCUUCAACCGGGACUCCCGAUGAAUGUUGUGCCUUAUGGGAUCGAGACUAAAGGUACCAUGAGUAUUAUUAGCUUACGGCCAAGAUAUCCUACAUAUUACUUUAGUGCAUUCAAGAUUAGCGACGGAUGCUUAAUAGUGCAAGACUGGACCAAAUGUGUGAUGGAGAAGCGCAAAGAAGUACUAGGGGGUAGCAAAUAGAUGCGCUACCCAUGAUUAGGAGACAGGUUCAUCUGCAUGCUCCAACUUGAUCAAGGAGGAGAGCUACACAUGUUUUAUGUUAUUUUACCUAAGAGAGAGCAGCAGGAGUGAUUAGGUAGCUAGAAAUGAGUUUGAGGAUGAUGAUGUGCUACACUAUUACUAUGAUGAUAAAAUAGCUAGUGUUGGUGGUAAUGACUAUGAUGAUUAUUAUUAGCUAGUGUUUGUGGUGAUUAAAUAAAUACUGUUGGUGGUAAUGACUAUGAUGAUGAUUAAAUAGCUUGUGCUGGCGGAUUAGAUUCAAGUGGAGGCAACAUGUGGUGCACAUCGAAAGUACUACUAGUCCAAACUGAACAAGUGUGGAUUAGUAGUAUACUUUUGACAUGCACCACAUAUUGCCUCCACUUGAACCUAAUCCACCUUCAUUUGACACACUGUUAUGGACAUAAUGAUGUAAACCUCAUAACUGGUAUUGUACCAAUAUUUGUACGAUGGCGCAUAAAUACACUAAAAUAAAAAAUAAAAAAGAAUACUAGUAGCGAUGGAGAGAAAACACGCUGCCAGUAGUUACAAUAGCAGUAGCGUGGGAGUGAACAAACGUUGCAACAUUUUGUCCUAGCAAUAGCGUGUGCGGGCACACGUUACUGCUAAGCAAUAGUUGUAGCACCUUAUUAGUAGCGUGCCUACCCGCGCUACUAGUGAGCACAAAAUCAGCGCUACUGCUAGGGUUUUCCCUAGUAGUGAUUAUUAGAGCAUUGUCCCAGUGAGGAAAGGAUGAUGGAGACUAUGAUUCCCCCACAAGUCGGGAUGAGUCUCCAGACGAAAAAAAGAAAAGAGGCUAAAAAAAGAAGGCCCAAAUAAAAAAAGAAAAAAAUAGAAAAAAUAGGGAAAAAUUGAGAGAAAAAGAGAGAAGGGACAAUGUUACUAUCCUUUUUCCACACUUAUGCUUCAAAGUAGCACCAUGAUCUUCAUGAUAGAGAGUCUCCUAUGUUGUCACUUUCAUAUACUAGUGGGAAUUUUUCAUCACAGAACUUGGCUUGUAUAUUCCAAUGAUGGGCUUCCUCAAAAUGCCCUAGGUCUUCGUGAGCAAGCGAGUUGGAUGCACACCCACUUAGUUUCUUUGAUGAGCUUUCAUAUAUUUAUAGCUCUAGUGCAUCUGUUGCAUGGCAAUCCCUACUCCUUGAAUUGACAUCAAUCGGUGGGCAUCUCCAUAGGCCAUUGAUUAGCCGCGUCAAUGUGAGACUUUCUCCCUUUUUGUCUUCUCACACAACCUCAAUCAUCAUAUUCUAUUCCACCCAUAGUUCUAUGUCCAUGGCUCGCGCUCAUAUAUUGUAUAAAAGUUGAAAGAAUUUGAAAAGGCUAAGUAUGAAACAAUUGCUUGGCUUGUCAUCGGGGUUGUGCAUGAUGAGAGCAUUUUGUGUGACGAAAAUGAAGCAUGGCCAAACUAUAUGACUUUGUAGGGAUAAGUUUCCUUUGGCUAUGGUAUUUUGAUAAGACAUAAUUGCUUGACUAGCAUACUUGGAGUAUUACUAUUUUUAUGUCAACAAUAAACUUUUAUCUUGAAUCUUUAGAUCUGAACAUUCACGCUACAAUAGAGAAAAAUACAUUGAAGAAUAUUCUAGAAAGCAUUCCACAUCAAAAAUUAUGUUUUUAUCAUUUACCUACUCGAGGACGAGCAGGAAUUAAGCUUGGGGAUGCUUGAUACAUCUCCAACGUAUCUAUAAUUUUUGAUUGUUCCAUGCUACUAUAUUAUCUGUUUUGGAUGUUAAUGGGCUUUACUUUACACUUUUAUAUUAUUUUUGGGACUAACCUAUUAACCGGAGGCCCAGCCCAAAUUGCUGUUUUUUGCCUAUUUCAGUGUUUCGUAGAAAAGGAAUAUCAAACGGAGUCCAAACGGAAUGAAACCUUCGAGAACGUGAUUUUUGGAGCAAACAUGAUCCAGAGGACUUGGAGUGGAUGUCAAGAAACAAUCGAGGAGGCCAUGAGGCAGGGGGCGCGCCCUCCCCCUCGUGGGCCCUGCUACGUCUUGAGCUUGCGUUGGUUUUCCCCGAAGAGGAAGGGAUGAUGCAGCAGAGUAGCAUAAUUAUUUCCCUCAAUUUUUGAGAACCAAGGUAUCAAUCCAGUAGGAGGCCACGCUCAAGUCCCUCGUACCUGCACAAAAUGAUAGCUACUCACAACCAACGCGAUUAGGGGUUGUCAAUCCCUUCACGGUCACUUACGAGAGUGAGAUCUGAUAGAUAUAGUAUUUUUGGUAUUUUUGGUAUAAAGAUGCAAAGUAAAAAGUAAAAACAAAGUAAAAAAGAAAAGCAAGAUUAAAGUGAUGGAGAUUGAUAUGAUGAGAAUAGACCCGGGGGCCAUAGGUUUCACUAGUGGCUUCUCUCAAGAGCAUAAGUAUUCUACGGUGGGUGAACAAAUUAAUGUUGAGCAAUUGACAGAAUUUAGCAUAGUUAUGAGAAUAUCUAGGCAUGAUCAUGUAUACUAGAUCGUUUAUGGCGCGCGUUGCCGCACCCGUCUAUUUGGCUCUUAUAAUUGUUCGAUAUAUGAAAUAUUUCUUAUACAUUUUUUCAGUGUUUUGAGCUCUUGUAAUUUUUAGGUAUAUGAAGUGUGUUGGCUCUUAUAAUAUACAUUUGUUUCAAGUUCAUUGAACUAUUGCGCUUUCUUGCAGCUUUUGCUUGUCCACUCCAUUUUCCAAAAUAAUGGCAUGCAACUGAAGAGAGGAAUCUGAUUGGUUUCCAAUGACUAUGUUCAGCUCUUUCUUCAUAGGUCUACUCUGUCGCAAAAGAUCACAUCAUGACAUCCCGAAAAAUAGCAAUAUUCAGAAAAAAAAACAUCAGGGAUGUUUGUCGAAUGGGUAGAACUGAUAUAUGUAGACCAAAACUAUUUGUGGUUCAACCUCAUAAAUGUUUUUUUUAUUUUCACGAUAUUAUAGUUCAAUAGAAGAGAAUACACCAAAACUGUAAACAACAAAACAUACAAUUAGAUGUCUGAUUAAACCACAAAUAUUUACGAAACCAAAAAUCUAAGAAUAUACAAAUUCAGCAAAUAUCAUUUCUUCCAAGAUUCAUAUGAGGUUGCACUUGGGUAUGCAAAGUUCCCUAAACUGUUGUUUCCAAAGCAAUGUUCAACAAUCAGUUGGCUUUAGCUCGAAGAGAAAAAAAUACGUAACACCUUUUCAUCUCUUGGAACCAUCAAUAUCAAUACUUCCAGAUCCAUGAAGCUGCAAAUGCAAUAGAGGAAAAUUGAAAGAUUAAAUCUAAAAAGAAAGAGGAUAUCAUCAAAGAAGGAAUCAAGGAAAGGCAAUACAAGUUCCAUG